rnacentral:lncRNA from 1 species
UUUUUUUUUUUUUUUUGGUCAGGCAUAUGUAAUUUUUUUUUGUCCCUUUCUUUUUCAGCCAUAUGUAGUUGAGUUAUAAUAACAAAUCUAGAGCGGCUUGAAAUGUUAGAAAUCAAAGAAAUAGUUCAAGGACAGAAAUUGAGUUCACCUCGAGCCUAUUUUUGGAAGUAAGUUUCCAAAAUAAAGGGUGAUUUUAGUUGGAUAUUAAUAAUAAUGACUAUUUUUAUUCUAAAAGAAUAGAAAAUCAUCGUUUCAACUAAUGUCUAUCCAAUCAAAGCCAAAAGGGGUCAUCACCAUUACAAAGCUUGUCGAACACUAACACGAAGAUCUGGCAAACAUUGCACCACAUACAUAGAAUUGAUUGGUGUAAUAUAUUAUUAUAGCCCUUUCAUGCGGGGUUUUUGUUGAUCUCAUCAAAACCAACGGACAUCAUGGGGAACAUAUAGCUAUAUAGCGGUGCUAAUCACUAGCUAGAGGGUUAUUUUUUAUUUGUCAUUGGUACUAGUAAUAAUUAAUUAAUCAAUACCUCUAUUUUAUUCUGAUAUAUUUGAAUACCUCGGCUAACGAGGCGUGAGCCCCUCCUCGGGAGAAUUCCUCCUUUUGCUCCAAUACCGAUGAAUUUGUCGUAUUAAAGAUAAAAAUUGUCUUAUUAAAUUUUGACACAGUGACUAGCACAUCAAUCAUUUUCCCGGUACUAUGAACUCACAUUUCACGUGAUCUGCCAACAACAUUUGAUGCUGGAAAGGCAGUAAAUCGAAUCAAUUCGUACCACCCAGCUUCUGUAUAUCAGCACGUUGUGCACUCUGCAGGCGAGGCGGAAAAAACCAUAAUAGGGUUACAAAGUUCCAACAAUAUUUCAUGGCAAACAAAUCCGGCAGCUUACAUGUUGUCAUGUUCCCAUGGUUAGCCUUCGGCCAUUUCAUCCCCUUUCUAGAGCUCUCCAAAUUCAUAGCUCAGAGGGGUCACAAAGUUAGCUUCAUUUCCACCCCUAAAAACAUCGAUCGCCUCCCUAGAAUCCCUCCAGAGUUUGCUUCUUCUAUUACCUUUGUCAAAAUCCCACUCCCCCCAGUCGAUGGGCUUCCCGAAAAUGUGGAGGCCACAGUAGACCUCGGCGGUCUUGAUGUUGCCGUUCUCAAGAAAGCCUACGACGGACUUGAGCCCGAGUUGACUCGUUUCUUGGAAUACUCAGCUCCGGACUGGAUUAUUUACGACUUUGCCCCAUAUUGGAUACCUCCCAUCGCAGCUAAGCUCAACAUAUCUAAAUCAUUCUUUUGUAUUUUUAGCGCUGCCAGUAUGGCAUUCGGUGCACCCUCUCUUGAUGCGAUGAUCGCGGGAACCGGUCCCAGAACUAAGGUCGAUGAUUUUACGGUUCCACCGAAGUGGAUCCCAUUCGAGAGUAAAUUGGCUUUCAAGUUAUACGAGAGUAGAUGGGUUGUGCAAGGUCAGAACCUAGAUGGAUCGGGUGUAUCGGAUUCGUAUCGGGUCGGAUCGGCUAUAAAGGGUGCAGAUGUUACAUUGAUAAGAUAUUGCUCCGAGUUUGAAGGCAAGUGGUUGAAGUUGCUUGAAGAUUUGCUACAGCGGCAUAUAAUACCGCUGGGAUUAAUGCCACCCCCGGUGGAAAAAAGCAUCGUCGAGAACAACGAGUCCUGGAUUGCAAUCAAGGAUUGGCUUGAUGGUCAAGGUAAAGGCUCGGUGGUUUAUGUGGCACUUGGGAGUGAGGUAUCACUCAAUCAACUCCAACUCAGUGAGUUAGCUCUUGGGCUGGAGUUAUCCGGGGUACCAUUUUUCUGGGCACUAAGGAAUCCAUCUGGGCUGCCAGAGGGGUUCGAGGAUAGAGUCAAGGGAACGGGUAUCGUUUGGAGGAAUUGGGCACCUCAGCUUAACGUGCUGAGUCAUGACUCAGUGGGUGGAUUCCUGACUCACUGCGGGUGGAGUUCGAGUAUAGAGGGGCUCAUGUUUGGUCAUCCGCUCAUUAUGCUGCCGUUUGUCGCAGAUACGGGGUUGAUUGCUAGGGUGCUGGAGGAAAAACAGGUGGGGAUAGAAAUACCGAGAAAUGAUGUAGAUGGAUCGUACACGAGCCACUCGGUGGCCAACUCGGUAAGGUUGAUUAUGGUGGAAAACGAAGGUAAAAUCUUCAAGGACAAAGCUAAAGAAAUUAGUGCAAUAUUUGGAGAUCAGGAUUUGCAUGACAGUUACCUACACAAGUGUGUAGAUUACUUGGAAAAUAAAAGACAUGAAUCCAAAUAAGAACUGUCUUGGAAACUUUUGCACGGUGGAUACACUAAUCAGUAUUCAUUGUGCCCAUUCUGCCAAGGCCACCAUUAGUGUCAAGUACAUCCUAUCUGAUACACUUUAUUUAGCAUCUAGCUUUAGGAAAAUUAGCCUUAUUAAAGUUGAUAGAUUAGAAUAAUCUGUGUUACAUGAGCUGGCCACUUGUACCAGACGUUUGUAAUCUUGCUUCUUUUAAUAUAUUUUGCUUUGCUUGAUUAAAAAAAUGUAUCCUUUGUGGAUUUUCUUUUGUAUUUUUAAUUGAGUUGUUACUGAAAUUACAUCAUUUCCUUGGGCUGAGAAUGCCCAUUACAUCUUGUACAAACCGUCCAGAAAGGUUCAUCAUCAUAAUUUGGCAAAAAAAAUGUAAGGUUCAGAUCAUAUCUUCUACAUCGAUUUUAAUAUCAUACGUGAAAUUCACAAAAUUUUCUUCUAGAGUUACAAUAUAUUGAAAGUGAAUUACAUUCUAAACAAAUAAAAUUAUGUCCCGUGAAAUAGAACAAAAAUCAAUCCAAACAAUUUUUCUGAUGACCGUUUAAGUCCCCACCCCCACUUAAACCACCCCACCAUUCGCUUAGUCAAAAGCAAGAACAAAGACAAGAUGGCAGAAUCCAUCCAUAUGAUUGUGUCUAUUGUUCUCGAAAUAGUCGAUAAUAUAUAUAUAUAUAUAUAUAUAUAUAUAAAUUUCUUCAAUAAAAUCCAGAUUUAUGUGUAUUUGUUAGGGGUGUUAAUUAGGUUUUUUGAGUCGGAUUUUAGCAAGUCCAAACUUGGUUCAUAAAUUAUACAAGUUUUUGGGUUUCGAACUUUCGGGCUCUGAGUUCAAAUUAAAAUCUCAAGUUUAGCUCAUGCUAUUAUAUGAGUUUCAGGCUCAAAUCGAAUUCGGUACAAACUCAUAAUUAAAUGCAUAAUUAUAUAUAAUAUAUAUUUUAUAAUUAUGAAUUAAUACAAAUUCAUAUAUAAGUCAUUAACAUUUUAUGUCGUAGUAUGUAUAAUUAUAAACUAUAGAUAUUAUUAUACAUAUUUUACAUAUGCGAUUAUACUCAUAUAUGGAUUGGACUUUAAUUGAAUUUGAGUCUAGUUUGAUUCACACUCAAUCCAAAUUUAGUUUGGCCCUAAUAUUUAAGUUCGAAAUUUGUCUGACCGAAUUAAAACUUAGGUUCAGUGAACUUUUUCGAGCCGAACUUGAGCUGAUCGGAUUUCAUUGACAAUGCUAGUAUUGGAUAAGAGAUUAUUUUAAUAAGAUAAUAUUUUGAAAAAAUAUUGUAAUACUUUUUAUAAUAUAAUUUCUAUGAGAUAAAAAAGUGAUUGAAGAGAUAAAAAGAUAAUUAAAAGAUAUAUUUUUGAUGCAAUUAAUUAAAAACUCGUUUGGAUUGAUAAUCAGUGGGUUCUAUCUUUCCUUCAACACUGUACGGCUACAUGUUCACUGUGACUUGACGUUUAUUUUGACGAGCUCAAAACAAUUUUCCGAAGGAAAGGCAUCUAAAAAAUGGGCAACAGAGUGGAUGCAGAAGAUGAUUUGGACUUUGGAGAGCAUUCCUAAGAAGAUCAAUAACUAGGAGCCAAGCAAUAUCGAAAGAAGGCAAUAAGCACAUAUCCUCCAACAAAAUCCCAUUUAUUUCUAAAAAAGGAAAAGAAAAGUUCCAUUUAUUUGUUCUGAACUAGGCUUCAACUCCUAUGUAAGUAGUUGCAUGGCUUUCUUUUUCUUUUUCUUUUUUUUUUUCUAGCUUUCGUACUGACAUAAAAACUCAAACAAUAGAAUUUUCCAAGUAUGAAUUAUGUAAUUCUCUGUCCCCAAAAAUCAAACUUAAUUCCUUUGCCUUUUCUCUGCGUCUCUUCCCAUCAUUUUCAACCAUGAUCAACCUCACUGACUCGGCCACAGAGUCACUCGUGUACAACCCGUUUUCCUCAUCUCUUGGAACUUCAAUCCCAACUCCGUUAUCUUCUAGAACCCUAGCAUUAAGCCCUUGAUCCACCAAGAAGGGCAGCAUAACAAGAGGAAGCCCAAGCAGAAUCCCCUCCACGCAGGAACUCCAACCACAGUGAGUCAAGAACCCUCCCACCGAUUCAUGACUCAGUAUCCUCAUCUGCGGUGCCCAUCCUUUCCACACGAGCCCCCUUCCCUUGACUCGCUCUUCAUACCCGUCUGGCAACUCAAAGGGCUCGUUUGACCCGGCUGGUUUCCUUGAAGCCCAAAAGAAUGGCAACCCCGAUGACUCCAAUCCGAGUGCCAACUGAGUCACAUGGGAUUGAUUCAGUGUCACCUCGCUCCCCAAUGCAACGUAAAUUACUGAGCCUCUUUCUUGAACUUCAAGCCAUGAGCUAAUGAAAUCCCAUGUUUCAUUUUUCUCGUCUGAGCCGUUGACGUGAGUCGGCGGCGGCAUUAAGCCGAGUGGAAUAAACGGCUUUUGAUGAAGCUCUUCAAGCAAAUUUAACCACGCGCCUUCGAACUCGUGGCAGUGCCUUAUUAGAAUAGCGUCAGAGCCGGCCACGACUUUGCCGGCGCGGUGAAUAUCGGAAACGCCGGAGGCAUUCCUUUCAGCCGAGCUCAACAUCCAGUUCACCUCAAACGGCUUGUAAGCCACUUUAUCCUUAAACGGGACCCACUUGGGUGGGACCAAGAAAUCCUCCGCCUUUUUCCUGGGAUCUGACCCGUCCACCAUCAUGUCGGUCGGCCCAAAGAAUGCAAAAAACCAAGCGUUGAAGAUACAAAAAUAGACACGAGAAAUCCCAAGCUUAGCAGCGGCUUCAGGCAGCCAAUAAGGGGCGAAGUCGUAAAUAAUCAUGUCAGGAACUGAGUCCUCCAAGAAGCGAGUCAACUCGGGUUGGAGCCCGUCAUAGGCUUUCUUGAGAUGCUCAACAUCUUCGGUUCGAACAUCCAUGGUGGCCUCCGCAUUUUCAGGGAGCCCUUUAACUUUGGGUAGUGGAAUUUUAACUAAGGUGAUAGAAGUAGCUAGCUCUGGUGGGAUUUUCGGGAGGCGGUCGAUGUUUUUCGGGGUGGAAAUGAAGGAAAUUCUGUGACCCUUUUGGACUAAGAAUUUGGCAUAUUCUAAAAAUGGAAUUAUGUGACCAAAGGCCAGCCAUGGGAACAUAGCUAUGUGUAGCUUAGCUCCUCGAGCUUUGGCCAUGGGGUUCCAAGAAUCAGAAACCAUGGUUGUGGAGCUAACGGCUUCUGUUUGGUUCUUGAAGUUAAAAUUAUGGAUUAACGUCGGCCGGGAUGAGCUAUGCAAAGUAUUGCAGGAUAGCCAAUGGGAGUAUCUGUUCGUUUUCAGAUGUUGCUUUGUUCGAUGCCUGCAAGCCAAUUUGAACUUGUAUAUUCUAUUUAUAAUAAUGAUAGCAGAAGUUUUUUUUUUUUUCUUUUUUUCCUGCAAACUAGAUUGCUGUUCAUAUUAGACUACUUGCAAAAGAUUUUUGAAAGGGAAUAAAACUGACGCACCUCUAUUUGAUAUUCACACAUUCUCACUGCCUUAAACUUGAAUCGGUUAAGAUGCAAUGCAUGUUAUGGUGAUGAGAGUGCGUGAAUUUCAAAUAGAGAUGUGCGUGCGAGUAUUAUUGCCCAUAAAUUAGUUUAGGAGUAUAUGUUUCGUACUUGACCAAAAACCAUAUCAAUGGUUAUCGUGAAUUUGUGAUUGGUGUGUUUAAUAUAGUCAGCUUUCUCGAUUUCGUUAAAAAAAAAAAAUGUAGAUUUGAUUACUACUUUUCCAACUUUGCCUAACUUUUGAGACAGACAAGCAUUUGUUUCUUCCUUGGACUACUUGUCAAAACAACCAAACUGAAAAGUACAGACCAAAACAUUGAAUUACCAGCCACUCAAAAAAUGUCACAACUGGGAGGACUGGCGGAAAGACGUUGGCAAAUGGAAUUUUUCUUCUCAAAAACUGGGUAGAUUUGAGAAGGUGAAUUACUUGCCCAAGUGGAAAUUGAUAUCAAACAAGUAUAUGUACUUUUGUUAAUAAUAAGAACUGCUUCACGCAAUUAUAUGUUCCAGCAAUUUUUUUUUUGGGUUUAAUAAGAACUGCUUCAUGCAAGCAAUUAUGUGUUCCAGCACACAGCAUUAGACUUGUGGUAGUAUGAUUUUGCCCCAAACCAAACUACUGGCCCACGGAAAUUUUGUUUCAAGACGAUAUCAUUCUUAAAUUCAUUUCCCCCGCUGUCAGUUUUACGCUACCAAAUUUGUAUUUGACUUGACAUUGGCCUUGAUUCACAUAAAACACGCGACUCUCUAUGUAGGAACGUGAUGCAUGGAAUCUGUGCAGUCAAAAUCCAGCGGGGUGAGAAUCUUGCUUGUAAACAAGGAGCAGCAGAGGCGGGACCUGUCCCCCGUUUCAUCAUCUUCUAUACUUAAAUUAGCAAGGUUGAGAGUGAGUGAGAGAGGCCGUUGCUUGUUACUUCAAAUGGGAAAGAGUCAAGGGCGGGUACUUACAGUUUGCAGAACCGACUUUAAUUUACUAGGUGAUAGGUUACAUUUUUUGUUAUCAAAUUUAUAUGAUUGUUUCCCCUUGAUUUUGGUCAAAUAUUUCAUUAAUUAGUAGAUUCUACUUACAUUUGGUAAUUGGCGUUGGUUGCAGGAAUCUGAGCAAAAAGUAAUUGAAGAUGUGAUUUUUUAACUGGAUUUUUGUGCGAUUCAGCAUGGUGCGUCAAGGUCUCAAGCCUACGUGUCCAGAAAGUUUGGGGAUUUAGCACGUGAUCUCCGAUCUUAAAUUGAAGUCAUGAAAGUAAGAUUCUUCACCGAAUGAACAGUCUCUUACUUAGGACUCUUUAAAAAAUUAUUCGUUGGAUUAUUAGGAUUAGGACUUUGUUUUUACAGAGUAGUUUAGUCGGAAUAGAAGACCAAGAAAAACGAGGAUUGUCGUAUGUCUUUUCUUCUUCUUCUAUUUUUUUUUUCCUCACGAAGUCAGGACAUCACGGGGACUUCUUUUCUUUUCCUCAGGAUAUAAGAACGACGUCUUUUUCUUUUUCUUUUCUUUUUGGCGUUUCAUCCUAUAAUUGAAGAAUGGUUUCGACAAUUCAUUCAACUAUUUUGCGUGUGAUUUCUUCAACAGAAAUGAACUAAACUUCUCGUUCUAGUCAAGGGACAAUGGAGGAUUUGGUUCAACUAAAAUUAUAAGAUCAAAUUGAUUAUAUUUGUUUUUUAUGGAUUAAAAACAAAAAAGCCCCUUGUAGUAUACCUAAUACACAGAAAACCUCCCCGUAAUUUCAAAACAUACAAAACGACACCUCAUGUUUUAAACUAAAUUUAAAACUAACAGAAUUCGUUAAAUUUAACGAAAAUGACGGUUUUGGCCGUUAAAAAUAUCGGAUUUCGUUAAAUUUACCGAAUUUCGUUAAGUUUUUCGUUAAGUUUACCGGAUUCCGUUAAGUUUAACGAAUUCUAUUAGUUUACAAUUGAUUUCAAAACAAAAGGUGUCAUUUUGUAUGUUUUGAAAUCACGGGAAACUUUUCUGCGUAUUAGAUAUACCACAUGGGGCAUUUUUGUUAUUAACCCAUUUUUUAUUUACUGGUAUUCGUAUGCUCUAUGAUUUAAUUUUUUGUGGUUAUUAUAUUAUUUGAAUAUCCAGGACCUGGUGUUUUAAUUAAUCUAAUAAUCUAAACCAAUUAAAGUAAUUAAAUUCAUAAUUGUUUAAUUGUUUUAAUCUAGUGGUAACUGACAUGAUUAGAUUUAUUGCUAAGGAACAUAUAGGCUGAUUUAAAAUAACCAUCGUAACGUGUUAUUAACUUAGAACAGGAAAUUGAACUCUACAGUCAUAGUUAGAGUUAUUUUUUUAUUAGGACAAUGGUUAAUAGUCGCACCUUAAUCACCAAUACAUUAAGGAGAAGUUGAUUACCAUCGAUUUUUUAGCAAUUAUAACUUGUUUAUCAGUGUGUAAAUGGAAUUAUCAUUGUAUCAAUGAUCAAUUGAGUGAACCAUUUCCGAAAUUAUUUAUUGGUUAGAGUUUAUCUAUUAUUAUUUCAAUUUUAAUAAAUUGUCAUUUAGUUUUUAUAUAUUUAUUUUAAUUUAGUUGUUUAAAUUAUUUCCAUUUUUAUAAAAAUCUCCCAUAUUCUAAGCUCUAGAAUAAACAAAUUUUUUUCAGUCCAUUGAAUUCGAUCCUACUCACUGCUAUAUAUAAAAAUUUAUAUUUUAUUUGAAUAGAUAUUUAUUAUUGUACGAGAUCCGACACCCAUCGCUAGGAAUGGAGAGAGCACUAGGCAAAGCUGCCCUUGACAGUUGACAACAUGCUAGCUUUAGGUGUCAAAGUUUGAUUAGGCUGCAUUGAACUUCUGCAAAGUUUGUCUGGACGUUAUUUGUGCAUGGCAAGCCAAAAAUGGUUGGGUGGCUCUGACUAGCCUAAGUGAAAAGAAGUUGCAAUUGACCAAACGUAUAAAAAGGAUCAUUGGAUUUAAAUCUCCACAUUUGCAAAAAUCACCCACUAUUGCUCAAAUCCAUGGGAGGGGCAUUACCGCAUUAGUUUGACAUACGCACAACCGGCCAGUAAAACCACCUAUCUCACGAAUCUAUUAAAAGAAAAAAAUCUACAGGAGAUGGAAGGACUGGGUUGAUCAUCUUCAUAAGGAUUUUAGGCAUCAUAUAGGAGGCUGAUCAUUAGCAGAAAUAGUGGGGGAGCUAGUAGUCAAGGUUAAAGGGAACAACUGUUUUAGUAUAGAAUACAUUAAUUAUUAAAGGCAAUAUAUAUAUAUAUAUAUAUAUAUAAUGAAUAAUAACAUAGAAAAGUAUAGACAACUAGUACGAUAGUUUUUCCAAUAUUUUCAAAAUUAUAAAAUGUUUCACUGACCUAAAUAAUGUUAAAGUAAUGAUAUGAUUAAUGUUUUUGUACAUUAGACAGGUGUAAUUCUUAAAAAUAAAUUCAAAUGAAAAUCAUUCAUUCAUUAGCAAUCCAUUUGGAUUGUAAAUUUUGUAGGAGUUUUGUAGAAAAAAACACUUUUGCAACAUUGUUUUUAACAUAUGAUGUAUGUGAGGUAAAAAGAUUGCUGAAUAUGUGUUACGGAAUAUUCUCAUAAAAACUCAAAAUAUUUUCCAUGAAGAAUAAAUUUUAACGUUUUCAACUACAAAAAAUCCAAAAAAAAAAAAAACAGCGCACAAAUGUAUACAUAGUCAUUUCUUUCGCUGGAAAAAAAAUGAAUAAUGAAAAUCAAAGAUUGAAAGGUUAGUUCUGUUUUUUUGUUUUGUUUUUUUUUUUUUAAUAACUCUAGCAUCAUAAUACUUGUAUCAGGCUAAUCUUCAUCUGAAUAAAACUCUUCACAAGCAAUAGUUUGAAUUGACCAAAUCCAAAUUGAAUAGGAUUGGUGCAAUAAGUAUAAGAUCCGUAAUCCAAGGUACUAAUUAAUUAAGAAUCUAAUUAUGUCCAGCAAGGACGUUUAUACAAACAACUAUGCCGUCCAAAACACGCUAAGAUUCAUUUAUAUUUAAUUAUCAACUCCAACGUUAUACGACACCGGCCACUUAAUUAAGUACUUUAAUCUUAUUUAAUUCCAGUUUUUCUAUUUUGUUAUUUAUAAUCCAAUUGUUGUUUGGAUAUAUCACUGCAACAAUUGUUCUUCUCUGCAUCUGCAUAGCCUUGUCCUCAAAAUUUAUUAGAAAGCCAGUGUAGCAAUUAGCCCGGGAGAGAUUGAUUAUAGAGCGAUUAAUGGCUGACAAUAGGAAAUUACACGUAGCAGUGUUCCCAUGGCUAGCAUUUGGCCACUUGAUUCCAUUUUUUGAGGUGGCCAAAUUCAUAGCUCAAAAAGGCCACAAAAUUUCCUUCCUAUCCACCCCUAGGAACAUGAAUCGCUUGCCAACUUUGCCUCCAGACUUAGUCCCGUGUUUUGAUUUCGUUAAUCUCACGUUACCAAGGAUAGAAAACCUCCCCGAAAAUGCAGAGGCCACUAUGGAUGUUCCCCCUGAAGACAUCCAUUUUCUCAAGAAAGCAUUUGAUGGUCUUGAAGAUGAGUUGACUCAGUUCCUUGAGUCUUCAACUCCUGAUUGGAUUAUUUACGAUUUUGCUCCUUAUUGGUUACCUCCCAUUGCUGCUCAGCUUAGAAUUUCUCGUGCCCAUUUCUUUGUGACUAAUGCGUGGUUUUUGGAUUUUUUUGGACCAACAUCGGUCAUGAUCGAUUCCCCCAAGAAAGAUUUGACUCUUAAGGAUUACACUGCCCCCCCGAAAUGGAUUCCAUUUCCUACGAAUUUAGCAUAUAGGAUGUACGAGUGGAAACGGACUCUGGAGACGUCAAACAAGCCUGGAGGGAGCGUUACUGAUACGCAUCGGCUUGGCUCGGCCAUAUCGGGGUGUGACAUGAUUAUAAUUCGUCACUGCUUCGAGUUUGAACCGUUAUGGUUGAACCUGCUCGAAGAACUUCAUCACAAGCCAGUCAUUCCACUGGGUCUCAUGCCACCAGGUGAUCAAGAAAUUGAAAUCAUUGACAAAAAUGAAUCGUGGGUUUCAAUCAAGGAGUGGCUUGAUGUGCAGAAGAAGUUGUCUGCGGUAUAUGUAGCUUUGGGGAGUGAGGUGGGACCGAGUCAAGAUGAACUCACUGAGUUAGCUCUUGGAUUGGAGCUGUCAGGUUUAAGCUUCUUCUGGGCUUUAAGGAGGUCUGAUUCGUUGGAGCUACCAAAUGGGUUUCUGGAGAGAGUUAAGGACCGAGGGAUUGUAUGGGAAACUUGGGCUCCCAAUCCAAGAUACUAAGUCAUGACUCGGUCGGCAGUUUCUUGACCCACUGUGGCUGGAGUUCUAUAAUUGAGGGACUUGAGUUUGGUCGAGCACUAAUAAUGUUACCAAUAGCUGUUGACCAAGGUUUGAAUGCAAGGAUCCUGGUGGAUUCAAAGGUGGGUGUAGAAAUUCCCAGAGAUGAAAAUGAUGGUUCUUUCACUAGAAAUUCUGUGGCCGAGUCAGUUAAGAAAGUAACAGUUUGUGAAGAUGGUCAGAUUUUCAGGGAUAAAGCGAAGGAACUGAGUUAUGUAUUUGGAGAUAAAGAUAUGCACAGUAGGUACAUGAACAGCUUCAUUGAGUAUCUGGAAAACCACAGGCCUCUGGAAAUUGGACUGUGAAUUAUGAUCGAAACCAUAAUGAUCAAUUUUUGUGUUUUGUUUUGCUAUAUAUUUUGUAUGUUGUUUCUCAUUGUUAUUAAAGUGUCGUGUUGGUAAUAAUGGUGCCAAUUCUUCAAUUCCCCUGCGAAAAUGUAUCCAGUGGGGUACAUAUCACAUUCUCAAGGGGAAAUGAGCUAUGGAUAGAGAAUAAAAUAUCCGAAGUUUGUAAGCCAUGACAUAUGUUCUUGGGGUAAGAGACCGAUGAACUUGAUCAAUAUAUCCAAAUCUUGACCUCCAUGUCAAAAUUACUUGCCACAAUAUUGCACUAAAAGUGCUUAAAAUAAAUGAAAGUCUUGUAGGAGUAUUUGUAUUAGAAUCUUUUCAACAUAAGAUUUUGAUAGCUAGAAAAACUGAUACAUCUCAAAAAAGUAAAGACCAAAACAUCCAUGGAGAACCCAAAAAGGAAAAAAAAAAUAAAAAAGAAAAAGUAGGAAUACUGGACUUUUGUCCAUGAAGUAGCAUAACCUUACCUGUAACAGACCUUGUCAUGUCCAAUCUCUCAUCCCUUCAAGGGGACCAUUAGCAAAAUUCGGACAAGAAAGAAGACUCUUUUCUUUCGCUUGCUUCAUUUAGAGUAACAAGACACAUAACCAUAUAUAAUGGAGUAUUAAGGAAGAUGCUUUAACUCACUCUGAAACGCUUUAAAAUUUUUAAAACAUAUUUGCCAAUUAACAUUUUAUUGCAUGUGUACUUUCAUCUAAAAGUUGUUUUUAUUCUUUGAAAUGUACUUCUACAAGACAUAUGGAAAUGGAUAGAUUUCGUGGUACAGUAUAGUGAUAGUGCUCCAACAAGAUGCUCUACUUUUCCUUAAACAGACUCCCAAAAGUCAAAAUCUAUGGAGUCCGAAGCAUUAAGGGCAAAAUAAUGGCAAAAAAUGUAGCAAAAUUUGAGCCACUGAAAAGUACAUUUGAGUUUCGUGCUAUUUCCAAAAAAUAGCAAAUUCUUCUCUAUCAUAAGAAAUGAUGACGGUCCAACAUCAGUUAUUGGAAGCAUGAUUCGUGUCGUUUACCCCUAAAAAGAAAAUGACAUGCAAUUGAACAGAACUUGAAUCAUGUGGUAAUUCAGAUUAGAGAUAGCAAUUUGUCCCAAAUCCCAAUGGGCUAUCCAUGCCCAAAAAGACUUUGGGCAAAAUGGGUAUUGUAAUUUGAUAUUGGAUUUAAAAUGGGAUACAUCCCAAUUGUACCCAUUAUUUAAUGGGAAAUGUUGGAAAAUACUUGGGUACCCAUUGGGCCCAAAUAUCUUCCCAAAAAAUUUUAUUUAUCCAAAAAUUCUCUAUUUUUUUUAAAAUGAUUUCAUUUAAACAACUUUAAAAAAAUAAAUAUAACAAUAAAAAUAAAAUGAAUUGGUAAAAUUUUGGUGUCUACAAUAAUCAAUGCUUUACUAACAACUAUUGGCACCUUUUAUGUUGAUUUUAUGCUAAUUGUUGAACUAUCUACAUAGAUUUCUAUAUGCAACCUUGUUAUCAAUUUUUAAUCAACUUCUUCAUUUCUGUGCUAGCUUUAUUCAGCAUUUAAUGUGAAUUUCUUUUGUAUUAAAUUUUGGAAAUUUUAAAAAUGUCAGUAAGAAUGAAUUUGAUGUUAAAAAAUCUUAUUUCUAGUCAUUGUGUCAGAUAACAUUAUGAGUAAGGUUGGAAUAUGACUAUAUAUCUAUCUUUUCCUUUAUUUGUUAAUCCAAUUUUUGGUUUAAUCCAGGGAGAAGAUAUGUUCAUUCUUACGAAAAUGUUAUGUCUUUUUAAAGUAACUGUUGAUCGUUCUAGAGUGUAAAUGAAUUCAGGAAAAUAUAAAUUCACGAUAAGAUCAAAAGAAAUUUAAUAAAUGAAAAUAUUAAAGUUAUAUAAAAAAAAUAAAAAAGAAUUAAAUUAAAGGAAAAAUUUAGAAAAUAAAUUUGGGUAUUAGGCGAGAUCAAUCUAAACCUAUCCCAAAGUGAUCUCACCCAAGUUAGUCCCAAAACACAUAUAGGUAAAGUUAGAUCCAAACCCAUAUGAUUCGGUUCCCUUUCGAACCCAAGCAAAUCCCGCGCAUCCUGCCCAUUUUGCCGCCUCUAAUUCAAAUACCGUAACGGAGCAUGGUAAGCAUUAGAAUGAAGACUAUAUAGCCUGUAAUUCAGCCAGAAUGAAGACUAUAUAGCCUGUAAUUCAGCAAACUAAAUCAUUGAUAAACUUUAGCUUCUUAUAAACCUCAGUAUUAACGGGCCAACUCUCUGUUUGAAUUGCAUGAAAACAAAGAAAUUCUGAAAUUUUUUGUAAUGCAUAUGCAUGCGUACCUUUAUCCAGAAAAUGUUAUACAAUAUAUUCUUUCUAAGACAAAAGUUUAAAAGCUCAUAUGCAGAUGGAUAGAUUUCGCGGUGCAUUGUGUUGGUUCUAGACCAAAAUAAAUCAUAUAAGUCACAAUAAUUUCUCUAAUAAAAUUUAACAAAUAAAUUAACAAAAAUUCAUACCUUAAUCUUGCAUUAAAAAUGCAAAUAAAUUGUACCAUAAAAAUGUUGAUUUAGCAUGCGUUAAGGCGCGGACUAGGUCGCUCUCUUUAAGACGAUUCGCGCCCCUACGGAGUAUCCUCCAGUGUAGUAGGUCUCAACACGUCGCCUCCAGGAUACAACAGCCCAGCCUUUUGCACACUGUAGUCUACUCCAAUCUACACUAUUGGAGCAAGACAGAAACCUCACACUAACACUGUUCUUUGCCCUAUAAACUCUUAUAGUAGUAGAGGAAAAAUAGAAGGUAGUAUAGAGAUAGCAAAGUAUAUAUUUGGUUUGGUUGAUAGAUGCCUUAUAUAUAGGCUAAGAAAUUAGGAAUAUUAAAAUACCAACAUUAAUAGGAAUUAACACCUCAUAUUUCAGUUACAAAUUGAAAAGUCUAGAUUCAUUGUAUAACGGUAAAAAAUUACCAAAUGAAUUCAUAAAACCUAAUCAUUACAUAAGUUACAAAUGCAAGACAUAAAUCCCAUAAGUUACACAUUUAAAUGUUUCAAUUUGUAACUAAAAAUUUAUUUAAAGAAUUUGUAAUUUAUUUUAUUUGAAUUCAAAAUAAAUAUGUGAUAUUUUUUAUUAAAAUAUCCAACAAUCCCCCACUUAUUUUAAUAAAAAAAUAUAAUAUUCAAAACUUAACACUUAAUAGGGCAAAGAUUAAAAAUUCAUGCAUAAUGAAGGUGGCAAUGCCUUUAAACCUUCACUUAGUGCUCAACAAUUCCCGUGCUAGAGUCAAAGUGGACUUAGCCUUUAAACGAUGACUACUUGAGGGCACGUGAAAUCAUAUUACAUGUAUGAACCUUUCAUUGUUCUAAAAUAGAUUUCAUAAGCUAGAACAUUUAUGGCCUUGUGCUUUAUCCCGGUUUUCAUAAGUGCUCUAGAGAACCAGCCCAAAUUCUCAUAGGAAGCGGCCCUACUUCCACACUCAUAUAGGUGAGUCUAUCAAAGAUGCUCCUAUGACUUAGACAUCCCACCCAUAAGGGCUAUAGAACUCAUUAAAGGAAUAAAAAUCCCAACCUCGCUUAUCGUCAUAGGAUCACGAAUGCAUUUACAUCAUAAGGAUGGACAAUAUAAUCAAAGUAGUGCAUAUUAAUCAACCAAAUCACUCUAUGAUUCAUUUGUCUCCGACCUAGUUCUUGGGAUCUCCAAUCCCUAGGUGGUUGUAUCCUUGUAGGUGAUUUUUAACAUAUAUUAGACUUUUGUCUUAUCCCCCUCGAUGUGUAUCAUAUCCUUGAUUCAAGUUUGAGAUUUAUUUUUUCAACACAAAUAAAAUAACAAAUAUAUGAUAUUCUUGAAUUUUUUCAAAUAAUCUCUUAGUGGUCCAAAUACAUGGAACCAAUCUUCGAUGAGAAAAUUUCUCAUCCAUAUAUUUUUUCCAAAUAGUGUAGGCGUAUAUUUACUCAUAUGUAAUUUUAAAAUUUUUUUUUCAUGGCCAGUAGUCUCGUGAUGCACUAGAAGCCAUUCUAAAAAAUCUCCAUGGUUAUUUUUGCUUUUGCAAAAAUAUUAAAAAAUAUUUCAAGUACCUUCACAUUAGGUCAUACUUUUCAGUGAAUACUAGUCUGCACAACUCAAAAUAAAGUUAGAAUAGAUUCAAAAAACAAUAAUUAUGUUAUACUCACAAAUUGAGCAAAUAGAAUGGGCAUAUAUUUGCUCACAUCAAGCAAAGCCACAUUAAUUUCCAUCAUUUCUGUAAUCUUCUCAGUGACUAGUAAUCUAGUAACCCGCCACUCUCAUAGUCCUCAAUGAAUUUUCUUUUGCAAGAAAACUUCAUAAGUAAUUCAAAUCUAUCCAAAUCAUGCCUCACUUUUUAAUCUGCACAACUCAAAUUAGAGAUUAAGAAAAUUCAAAAAAUAUAAUAGUCAAUGCACUAUUAUGUUUUAAUUUCAAAAUUCAACCUGCAAGUAAUGCAGGCCUCAUAAUGAAAAUCUCAAGAGUUUCAAAAUUCAUAGCUACCAGCUUAGUCAACAUCCACUGUCCGUGUUUCCAUCCAAGCGUUUCCAUCCAAGCAUAGUCUUUCUAUAGUCAUGCUUGGCAAGGAAAUUAAGUAUUCCAGUUUGCAUUAAAUGCAAAGAUAGCCACAUAACAAACAACAUGAAAUAAUUUAAUACAAAUCCAAAAGUUGUUGGUUGCCUGCAAAUUGAUGGCCUUUGACUCGAAUACAUAUUUUUUAAUGUACAAUAUCACAUUUUCAACUCAAAAGUUCAUAUUCACAAUUUUAACAAAAUACAAGUCAAGAGAAUAGAAUUGUUGAGAAUUAUAUGGCUAAUAACUUUAUAUUUCACAACUUCAAGCCACUAAAGCUAUUAUCCAUGUAUAUAAUUUUUCCUUGGUGACAAUGUAAUGUUUCUUCAUUUAUUAUUAAUACCGUUUAUUGGUUGUGAAAAUGCAAACCUCAAGCUGGACUAAGAUCAUAUGAAUUCAAGACAAAACUAGAGAAUUUGAAACCCCCAUUAUUUAAAUAUAACUUGAACCCUCAUAAUUGCAGUUUUUUUUGAUACACCUUGAUACCACUAUUCUUAAGACAAUAACUGGCCACGUUAUACAUGCAUUUCAUGGAGUACAUAUCUUUAUCAUCAAAUUAAUCAUUUAUAUGUCAAUGCCAAAAUUUUCAAUCGGAAUAAAUCCGUUAAUAUAAGAGACAUUGAGUUUGUUUGGAUAAGAGUUUAUUUAGAUGAUUUAUUUGAGAUAUUUACUGUAACAUUUUUUGUGAUAUGAUGUAUGUGAGAUAAAAGGGUGAUUGAGAAGAUAAAAAGGUGAUUGGGAUUUGUGAGAAUAAAUUUUGCAAAUCAAAUUAUCUUUGUCCAAACAAACUCAUUGAAAGUUCACUAUGCAACAUAACAAGCUCAUGCGAAAAUAGUUGCUUCAUACAACAUAUAUUAUAAACUCAAAAAUGGCAAAAAAUUAUUGUAUUUGGUCAACUAAUAUACAAAGACAUCAUGCAAGUACCAUGUUUUUCUUGAACAAACAAAUACAUGAUAUUCUAUUAAUAAUAGGCAACUUGGAUUCAAAGGUAUAUAUUGCGAAUUAUUUAAUGCGCUUACAUAAUAUUGAUACCAGACUCUAAAGCAUAUGAAACCAAUGGAUAUUAUCCUUUCUAGUCUCAGUCUAUAAUUGUGACCAUUCACAUGAAAUAUCUUGUUUAUUAAAGUUUGUCCGAAUUGUGUUAUACACCAUGUAAGAUUCUUAUCGUCAGGAUUAUGUUAGUUUUAUGAUUAGAUUAUUUAGAAGCAAAACAUGCAAUGAUAAUCUUAUCUUAUGUGAAGAGGCUGAUCGUCUUAAAAUUGUUGGUUCUAGACCAAAAUAAAUCAUAUAAGUCACAAUAAUUUUUCUAAUAAAAUUUAACAAAUAAAUUAACAAAAAUUCAUACCUUAAUCUUGCAUUAAAAAUGCAAAUAAAUUGUACCAUAAAAAUGUUGAUUUGGCAUGGGUUGAGGCGCGGACUAGGUCGCUCUCUUUAAAACGAUUCGCGCCCCUACGGAGUAUCUUCCAGUGUAGUAGGUCUUAGCACGCCGCCUCCAGGUUACAACAGCCUAACCUUUUGCACACUGUAGUCUACUCCAAUCUAGGGCUGCAAACGAAUCGAGCCGCUCGCGAGUCAAGCUCGAGUCGAGCUCGAUGUUAAUCGAACUCGAGUCGAGCUCGAGCCGGCUCGAGUCAAACUCGAGCUCGAGCUCGAGCUCAGAAUAUUAAGCUCGUUAGCUCGCGAGCUUGAGUAUAUAUAUAUAUAUAUAUAUUUAUUUUUAUUUAAUAAUAAAAUUACGUAUAUUAUAUAUAUUUUUUUAUUUUUUAUUUUCAUAGUAAAAUUACGUAUAUGUCCUUAAUAUUUUAUUAUUUAUUAAGAAAAAAAUAUUAUUUUAUUUAUUUAUUUUUUAAUAAAAUAUUUAUUUUUUAUUUUUUUUCGAGCUCGAGCUCGAAAUUUGCCGGCUCGUCGAGCUCGAGCUCGAGCUCGAGCUUGGUAAAAUUUAGUCGAGACUCGGCUCGAUUAGCUCAAAGCUCGACUCGGCUCGGCUCGUUUGCAGCCCUACUCCAAUCUACACUAUUGGAGCAAGACAGAAACCUCACACUAAUACUGUUCUUUGCCCUAUAAACUCUUAUAGUAGUGGAGGAAAAAUAGAAGGUAGUAUAGAGAUAGCAAAGUAUAUAUUUGGUUUGGUUGAUAGAUGCCUUAUAUAUAGGCUAAGAAUUUAGGAAUAUUAAAAUACCAACAUUAAUAGGAAUUAACACCUCAUAUUUCAGUUACAAAUUGAAAAGACUAGAUUCAUUGUAUAACGGUAAAAAAUUACCAAAUGGAUUCAUAAAACCUAAUCAUUACAUAAGUUACAAAUGCAAGACACAAAUCCCAUAAGUUACACGUUUAAAUGUUUCAAUUUGUAACUGAAAAUUUAUUUAAAGAAUUUGUAAUUUAUUUUAUUUGAAUUCAAAAUAAAUAUGUGAUAUUUUUUAUUAAAAUAUCCAACACAUUGUAAUGAUAUUGCUCGAACAAGCUGCUCUGCUCUUCCUCAGACGAGUUUUACAAGUCAAAUUCUUUACAGCGCAAAGCGAUAACAGGAGUAUGAUAGAAAAAUAUUCAGCAACUAGAGAGAAUGAGAGUAAACUAUUUCCAAAUAAUAAAUAAAUAAUAUAUCCUCUCACUCAAAAAAAAUGACAUCGGUCCAAUAUUAUCCACACACAUUCAUGCACAGGUAAUUAUUGGAAGUACGAUUCAUGUCAUAAAUGAAUCAUGUGAAUUCAGACAUCCUUGUAUCGAUAAAAAAAAAAAAAAAAAAAAAAAAGAUAAUUCAGACGCUGCACCAGACCAUUACACGUAGUUAUGUUCCCAUGGUCGGCCUUUGGGCACAUUAUCCCGUUUUUGGAGCUCGCAAAACUCAUAGCUCAAAGGGGUCACGAGAUCACCUUCAUUUUCACCCCAAGAAACAUCGAUCGCCUCCCAGAAAUCCCACCAAUUUUUGCUUCUUCUAUAACCUUCGUCAAAAUUCCACUGCCCAGAGUUGAAGGACUUCCGGAAAAUGCGGAGGCCACCAUGGACAUCGGUAACGAGGACAUUCCCCAUCUCAAGAAGGCCUAUGAUGGGCUCGAACCCGAGUUGACUCGCUUUCUCGAGAGCUCGCUUCCGGAUUGGAUUAUCUUCGACUUUGCUCCUUACUGGUUGCCUACAAUUGCUGCCAAGCGGGGAAUUUCUAAAGCAUUCUUUUCAUUUAUCAACUCAUGGUUUUUGGCAUUUCUAGGACCGUCAGAUGUAAUGAUCAAUGAUGCAGAUCCAAGAUCGACGGUCGAGGAUUUCAUAGUUCCUCCCAAGUGGGUUCCUUUUGAGACAAAAGUGGCGUACGAGCCGUACGAGAUCAACUGGAUUCUAGGAGCAGGUCAGGAGAAUGUAACCGGAGUGUCUGACAGCUCCCGUUCGGGAAUGUUAAUGAAGGGUUCUGAUGUUAUUGCCGUAAGACAAUCCUACGAGUUUGAAGGGCAGUGGUUGAAGCUUCUUGAGGAGCUGCAUCAAAGAAAAGUGAUUCCUUUGGGAUUAAUGCCACCUCAGGUGGAAAAGAUUAGCAAUGAUGGGAAUGAUUCCUGGGAUUCAAUCAGGGAAUGGCUUGGUGUUCGAAACAAGGGCUCAGUUUUGUACGUCGCAUUAGGGAGUGAGGUGCCACUCAGUCAAACGGAUGUCACUGAGUUGGCACUCGGGUUGGAGUUAUCUGGGGUGCCAUUUUUCUGGGGCGCUACGGAAGCCGUCUGGAUCAACCGAGUCAAUUCAGGUGCCAGAUGGGCUUGAGGAGAGAGUCAAGGGGAGAGGGAUUGUGUGGAAAGGCUGGGCCCCACAGUUGAAUAUACUGAGUCAUGACUCAGUGGGUGGGUUCUUGACUCACUGCGGUUGGAGUUCAUGCAUAGAGGGACUUGUGUUUGGUCAUCCGCUGGUUAUGCUCCCAUUUUUGGUGGACCAAGGGUUGAACGCCAGGGUUAUGGAGGAUAGGAAGGUUGGAAUUGAAAUACCCAGGACUGAGCACACGAGAGACUCAGUGGCUGAGUCUGUUAGGCUUAUUAUGGUUGAAAAUGAAGGGAAAAUUUUCAGGGAGAAGGCUAAAGAAAUGAGUGGAAUAUUUGGAGACAGAGAAUUGCAUGACGGUUACAUCCAAAAAUUUAUAGAUUAUUUGGAGAACAAUAGACACAAUCCCAUGGAUGGAUUCUGCCACUAGGACCCUUGUGCUAUGGGAAUGAUGGUUAACAAAUCAUGUUCGAUGACUUGAGGGGUAUGAAAAUUUUAUUGUUAUAGCAACUGUGCCUUUUUUUUUUUUUUAUAAUUUUUUUGGGAGCAACUAUGGGCAUUCAUUGAUCAAACGAUUCCCUUGGGUGCAUGCGCGUAAUUGUGUUGGACAGUUUAAUACACUCAAUUCCCUUCCACUUUGUAUUGCUAUUGGAUCGGGGAAUUGGCGAUUAGUUUUUGAAACAUGAAAUCAGCAACUGGUUGAUUUUUGACGAAUAGAAUUUCUAUUAAGGAAAAGUGUUGUUUAACACGUAAGAAGAAUAGAAAAUGAACACGACAAGAAGCCUGUUUACUUGCUUAUUAUAACAGGAAAACAGCGUCUAAUUAUCUAGAAACAGUUCUUGUAUCCGCUGCAACAAGAAGUAAUGUGAAAUUUCACUACAUAUCCAAAAAACCAGACAGUUACAUUUUUGCCAAAAACUCAAUGCAGUGUGACAGUGAACCUGUGAUUACAAAACCGAGAGGCCCCAGUCAUCAUUGCAAAUUUCUCCAAAAAUAUCAGCGGCGUGAUAGCAACUCGUGCAUUGAUUUGUGGUACGUAGCGCUCCAGGAUGAAGCGUCUAGGAUGAAUACCCAACAGAAGAACAACAACGAAUAUGUCAUCAACACCUCAAGAAAAGCUGUAGGCGAGGAGAAAAAUCAUAGAGCUAAAAUUCCAAUACUAUUUCAUGGCAGACAAAUCCAGCAGCUUACAUGUUGUCAUGCUUCCUUGGUUAGCCUUCGGCCAUUUCAUCCCUUUUCUAGAGCUCUCAAAAUUCAUAGCUCGGAGAGGUCACAAAGUUAGCUUCGUUUCCACCCCUAAAAACAUCGAUCGCCUCCCUAAAAUCCCACCAAAUUUAGCAUCUUCUAUUAGCUUUGUAAAAAUCCCACUCCCCCCAGUCGAUGGGCUUCCCGAAAAUGUGGAGGCCACCGUAGACCUCGGCGGUCUUGAUGUUGCCGUUCUCAAGAAAGCCUACGACGGACUUGAGCCCGAGUUGACUCGUUUCUUGGAAUCCUCAGUUCCGGACUGGAUUAUUUACGACUUUGCCCCAUAUUGGAUACCUCACAUCGCAGCUAAGCUCAACAUAUCUAAAUCAUUCUUUUGUAUUUUCAGCGCUGCCAGUCUGGUAUUCUCUGCACCCUCUCUUGAUGCGAUGGUCGCGGGUACUGAUCCCAGAACUAAGCUCGAGGAUUUUACGGUUCCACCGAAGUGGAUCCCAUUCAAGAGUAAAUUGGCUUUCAAGUUACACGAGAGUAGAUUUGUUGUGCGAAGCAAGAACCUAGAUGGAUCGGGUGUAUCGGAUAUGUAUCGGGUCGGAUCGGCCAUAAAGGGUGCUGAUGUUACAUUGAUAAGAUAUUGCCCCGAGUUUGAAGGCCAGUGGUUGAAGUUGCUUGAAGAUUUGCUACAGCGGCAUAUAAUACCGCUGGGAUUAAUGCCACCCCCGAUGGAAAAAAGCAUCGUCGAGAACAACGAGUCCUGGAUUGCAAUCAAGGAUUGGCUUGAUGGUCAAGGUAAAGGCUCGGUGGUUUUUGUGGCACUUGGGAGUGAGGUAUCACUGAAUCAACUCCAACUCAGUGAGUUAGCUCUUGGGCUGGAGUUAUCCGGGGUACCAUUUUUCUGGGCACUAAGGAAUCCAUCUGGGCUGCCAGAGGGGUUCGACGAUAGAGUCAAGGGAACGGGUAUCGUUUGGAAGAAUUGGGCACCUCAGCUUAACAUACUGAGUCAUGACUCAGUGGGUGGAUUCCUGACUCACUGCGGGUGGAGUUCGAGUAUAGAGGGGCUCAUGUUUGGUCAUCCGCUCAUUAUGCUGCCCUUUAUCAUAGAUACGGGGUUGAUUGCCAGGAUAAUGGAGGAAAAACAGGUGGGGAUAGAAAUACCGAGAAAUGAUGUAGAUGGAUCGUAUACGAGCCACUCGGUGGCCAACUCGGUCAGGUUGAUUAUGGUGGAAAACGAAGGUAAAAUCUUCAAGGACAAAGCUAAAGAAAUUAGUGCAAUAUUUGGAGAUCAGGAUUUGCAUGACAGUUACCUGCACAAGUGUGUAGAUUACUUGGAAAAUAAAAGACAUGAAUCCAAAUAAGAACUGUGUUGGAAACUUUUGCACGGUGGAUACACUAAUCAGUAUUCAUUGUGCCCAUUCUGCCAAGACCACCAUUAGUGUCAAAUACAUCCUAUCUGAUACACUUUAUUUAGCAUCUAGCUUUAGGAAAAUUAGCCUUAUUAAAGUUGAUAGAUUAGAAUAAUCUGUAUUACAUGAGCUGGCCACUUGUACCAGACGUUUGUACUCUUGCUUCUUUUAAUACUAGCAUGGGUUUGGCCGUGCUAUGUACUGGCCUACCACUGAUAUGAUCAAUUUAAUUAUGGAUUAAAAAAUUACUAUUUAUUGAUUUUUUUUUAUUUUUUGAAUUUGCUGUAACAACGAGGAUAAUUUGCUAAAAGGUCAUAAUGUAUAUAUAGAUUCAAGAGGUAAAUAAUAUGCAAAUUACAACCAUAAAUUACAUAAACUAACCAUGAAAAAAAGUAAAAAGUCUAAAAAAGAAUGUAGAAAAUUGCUGUCCAAAUGGAAAAAAGUAAAAGUCUAUAAAAGAAUCCUUAUACUAUAUAAGAACGAGUUUAGAACUAAAUUUCAACCGCAGGGGUGAGGCUAUUUUGGGAAUAUGAGAGUGUUUGAAGAGUAAUUUGAACAUUGAGUACAAGUCAUUAUAGCUUUAAUUUCACUAUAAUUACUUAUAUAACCUUUCAGACAUUUAAGGUUAGGGGCAGGUUUGGUAUAUUACAAUGUUUGGUGCCAAUUUGAGUAUCAAGUACAACUGAAUAAAGCUUGUAUUUUGAUAGAAUUACAUAAAAAUCCUUUUAAUCAUUUAUUAUACUAACAUCCAAGCCUUCCAAUUUCUUGAAACCUUUCUCAUCCGUUAAGGAAUUAAUUGGAUAUUUACAUAAUUGGAUUUUAAUUACAAUCAAUUAACUUAAUUAUUAUCUGAACAAUUAUUAUCAUAUUUAUAUUCCCAUGUUUAGCCGAUACCCUUUCUUCUUUUUCGGUUUCACCUCUUUGAUUUUAUUAUGGCUAUUAAAUAUUUGGUGAAAUGCAUAGCUUUUCCUUUAAAUUGAGGUGAGUUCUUUGAGUUUGUCUUUUUCGAUUGUAGUUUUUUUUUUCUGAUGAUUGGUUUAUUCAAGAACUCCAUAUAGUUUGUCUUUUGAUACUUCUAAUUCCAAAAACUGACUAAUUGUAUUGUUUUUCUUAGUAGUCCCAAAGAUUCUGUUUUUGGUCAAAGUACAAUUUGAGAUAAUGUUGUUACUUUCUAAAAUAAUCAGAAAAGCAAUUUUAUCAUAUUCUCCUCCUGAGCCAAGGUAUUAUCUAUUUAUUUAAGUCAAAUAAACUUAUUUCUCAUGAACUUUCUUAUAUUAUUCUUGACUCCAGGGAUCUGUUGACUACAUUCCAGCAGUUAUGGUUCAAGUAAUUAUUUUUUCAUGUAAUAUGAUUUGGAAUUCAGCUUGUGUUUAUUUUAAUUGGGAAUUUUAUGAUUGUAAAAUUUAUUAAUUUAGAAUUUUGUACUUCAUUGAAACUAAAAAAUAAAAUUAAUCAUGCUACAUAGUACUAAGAUGUCAUUUGCACUCUAUUUGCUUUCCAUGUUAUGAUCUCGUUCUUGUAUUAUACUGUUUAUAUAGUUUUAAAUACAAAAAAUUUGUUUUUUUAUGCUAUGUAAAAGAAUUUGUAGUGGAACUUGAUGAGUUUAAAUACUUUAACUACAGCACCAUUUUGAUUGCAUUGUAUUAAUUCAUUUACUCAUCAUUGUAUGUUGUACAAUGAUAAAUAAUGUUUCUUGAUUUGAUUGAAACAACUAUUAUCCAUAGUUCAAACAAGUCAAUUAAGUAGAGAUGUUAUAUUGGAUACUUAUACAAGUAAACAUUGAAAAAUAUCAUUAAGUAGUUUCUACCUAUAGUUUGCAAUUCGAAUUCAUAUAAGAAAUUUCUUCUGAUUUUACUUACCAUUUUCUAUAAUUUCAAAUUUAGAAACUAUUAUUUGCACCAAUUUUUUAUAAUCAAGAUAGUUUCAAUUCAGAUCUUUAACAAUUAUGCAGAUUUGAAUUUAUUUAUGAGAUUAUAAAGAAAUGCCUCUAGCAAAAAAUACCAAAUCUGAAUAGUUUCUACAAAAUUUUGAAAAAGACCACUUAAGUUUCUUAUCUAUCUAUCAUUUUUGGGCAUUAUUAUCUCUGUAAGAAACAUGUGAUUAAGUCGUAUUAUACCCACCAAAUUAUAUAAAUAGUUAGUAAAAAAUAAAAUUAUUUUAGAUUAGAUUGGACGCAAAAUGAUUGAUGGAUAAACUUGACUUGAUAAUUCAGAUUGAGCUUAAGUCGAGGGAAAAAUCAGAAGUAUUGCUCGAGGGAUCUUUCACGAACAUAUAUAGAUUCGAGAAAUGAAGGGUCCAAUUGAUACUUUAAAAUGUUUUAUCAUCUUGGAUAAGUUUUAGAAGAGACCUUCGGAUACUUUUCAAUUACACUUCAAAAAUUCUUACAUUUUCAAACUACCCUUAUCUUUGCAGUUGAAAUUCAAACAUAACCUUUGAUCACAACGAAUUCUUAUAUAGUAUAACGAUAAAGAUGUCUUAUUGCACAUUAUUUUUAUUGACUCACUAUGUAACUUAUGAUUUUUCUAUUAAAAUCACAUGAUAAAAUCAUCAUACUUCAGUUCUUAUACUACAAAAUAUUAAACAAUAAUUAUUAAUUAUCUUGAAUCACAAGCACGAAAUUCCCGCGAGUCGCACGGGCUGUCCCUCCCUAGUGUAGAAAAUGAAAUUGAGUAGUAUAAAACAUGGAAGCUGCUCAAACAUCACAGCCUUUGCUUAGCAGAUUUUUUGUUUGUCAUUUGUGUCCAAUGCCGGAAUACAAUACGAGCCUUAAAAGAUGUUUGUGCCAUAUAACUUGAAACGGGAAACUAAAAGCGGCAAAAUUGGAUAAAUGGUUAACCAAAACUCGCUACGUGCUAGUGUGAUGUGAAUAGUCGAUAAUAGUAGCGUGUUUGAUUUGGUCUGAAAACAAAUGUUUUGAGCAUAAAGCUAUCCGUACCUGAGAAGACCGACUCGUUUGGAGUAUUUAGCGAGUCUGCUGAAUUAUUAACGCUUCAUUUAAUUUGUGCAAAGACAUAUGUAAAUCUAGCUUCCAAUUCAUAACAAACAACUAAAAUCAUCAUGCAACAUUUGAAAUUAAAAACAAAGGAAAAGCAAACAUAAGCUAAUCCACAAAAUUACCAUCAUAGUGUUUCUUUUAUGCAUAACAUCAAACACAUGGCGGUCUUUAAUUAACAGAAGGCAAUUAAUAGAAGGCAACAACAUUCAAACUGAAAAAUUGCAGUUCAGAAUAGAAGGAAAGAAGAUAGAAACAUACCUUUUUUUUUAAGCAACAAUAUGAUGGAAAAAAAGCUUGUUUCAGAACAAGAAUGUCGUAUCUCUGUCACUCAUUUCCUAAGCAAAAUCAGGGACACCAACUAAUACUAAACAGAAACAAAAACAUAACGAAACUUCUAAAUGAAAAAGACCAGCACUUUGAUACUCGUUAGUCAAAAAGACUGAAGCCCAUAUCGUCAUCGGACUCCUCUUUCUCUUCUACUUUCUCCUCUUUCUUAUCCUCAGCAGCAGGUGCAGCGGCAGCACCUCCAGCUGCAGCGGCAGCAACUGCAACACCAGCACCACCACCAGCAGGUACUGAAGCCAACUUCUCCCUACCAGCUACAAUCAGCUUUGUGAUAUCCUUACCAUCCACUUGAGAUAAAAGCACAUCGAUUUUUUCAUCAUCAACAUCAGCUCCAACGGAAGCAAGGAUGGCCUUAAUAUCCUUGGCAGAGGGAUAGGUGUUUCCUCCCAACAAGGCCAACAAAUAUGCGGUGACCACCUUCAUCUCUGAGAUACAGUGGAAAUCCAGAAGAAUAGAGAGAUUGAUUGCUGAUCGGCUGCAGCGCCCGAAGAUAGGGUUUUAACGCGAGGAAAAUGAAACAUACCUAUAUUUUCUGUACUUGUACCAUACAUGAUUAAAAAUUCUUUUUUGAAAGUAAACAUCACUUCAAAUCAAAUACCCGGGAAAAGAUGAGAGUUUCAGUGCUAAAUUCAAACCAAGUACCAAAAUGAUUGAUAAAUUGGUACCGGAUUCAUCCCUAAAGUGAGCUAAUUUUGAGGGAAAAGAAGUAUCACUGAACUGAUUUUGGGGGCAAAAGAAAUCUUCACGUGUAUGUGGAGGAUUUUUUGGGUUGCAAUCAAAAGGAAGUACAAUUAAUUGUUGGAGGAAUUGAUAGAAAAGUGAAGAUUUUGCAGACUUACAGGUACCUAUCUCACCGAAAGACGGGGGAAGGAAAUUCUGGUUCUGAAAGCUAAACAACGACCAAAAAUGAUGAUUAAUAGAGAAUCAUUAGGGCUAAGUGUUAAACUAACCACUUGUUAAUUAUGGUGCUUCACUAACUAACGGGUCUAACAUGAGUUAUACUAAUAAGACUGACUCCAUUAUCUUAAUUAAUCCAAAAACAGCCCAUGUGAUAAAAGGGCCCACAAAUAGUCUACAACUAUUUGUAUUUGAUCAGAAAAUUAUGAAAGAAAUAAUUUCAAAUGUACAAAAAUAACCCUAAAUAGUUAACAACUAUUUAAAGAGCUAGUUUUCAUAAAAGGAUUCAAUUGACCUUUCCCACCAAUUAAAAACCAAACAAAAGGAACAAAUGAAAAUAAUUAAAUCAUUUUUACCAAUUAGCCCCUAAAUAGUAAGGAACUAUUAAGCCUUUGAAUUUGGACACCAAGGCUCAAAUAGACAUUUCUCACUCUUUAAUGGCCAAAAUAAAGAAACGAAAAUUGCUUCUUACAAUGACACCUUGACACUUGGCAUCAAUGAAGAACUUGAGUUGUUCUCUUAUCUAGUUGGUAGAUAUUUUGCUUUGCUUGAUUAAAAAAAAUGUAUCCAUUGUGGAUUUUCUUUUGUAUUUUUAAUUUAAUUGUUACUAAAAUUACAUCAUUUCCUUCACUAAGAAUGUCCAUUACAUCUUGUACAAUCGUCCAGAAAGGUUUAUGAUCAUGAUUUGACAAAAAAAAAAGUUAAGAUUCAUAUCAUAUCUUCUACAUCGAUUUUAAUAUCAUAUGUGACAUCCACAAAAUUUUAUUCUAUGAUUACAAUAUAUUAAAAGUGAAUUACAUUCUAAACAAAUAAAAUUAUGUCCUGUAAAAUAGAAAAAAAAAUCAAUCCAAACAAUUUUUCUAAUGACCGUUUAAGUCCCUAGCCCCCACAUAAACCACUCCCACCAUUCACUUAGUCAAAAGCAAGAACAAAGACAAGAUGGCAGAAUCCAUCCUUGUGAUUGUGUCUAUUGUUCUCCAAAUAGUCGAUAAUAUAUUAUUUUUUCAAAUAAUUUUUUACAAAAUCCAGAUUUAUAAGUAUUUGUCAGGGGUUUUAAUUAGAUUUCUUGGGUCAGGUUCAGCAAGCCCAAACUUGGUUCAUAAAUUAUACAAAUUUUUGUGUUUCGAACUUUCGGGCUCUGAGUUCAAAUUAAAAUCUCAAGUUUAGCUCAUGCUAUUAUAUGAGUUUCAAGCUCAAAUCGAAUUCGGUACAAACUCAUAAUUAAAUGCAUAAUUAUAUAUAAUAUAUAUUUUAUAAUUAUGAAUUAAUAUAAAUUCAUAUAUAAGUCAUUAACAUUUUAUGUCGUAGUAUGUAUAAUUAUUAACUAUAGAUAUUAUUAUACAUAUUUUACAUAUGCGAUUAUACUCAUAUAUGGAUUGGACUUUAAUUGAAUUUGAGUCUAGUUUGAUUCAAACUCAACCCAAAUUUAGUUUGGCCCUAAUAUUUAAGUUCGAAAUUUGUCUGAUCGAAUUAAAACUUAGGUUCAGUGAACUUUUUCGAGCCGAACUCGAGUUGAUCGGAUUUCAUUGACAAUGCUAGUAUUUGGAUAAGAGAUUAUUUUAAUAAGAUAAUAUUUUGAAAAAAUUGUGUAAUAUUUUUUAUGAUAUAAUUUAUGUGAGAUAAAAAAGUGAUUGAAAAAGAUAAAUAAUAUAUUUUCGAUGCAAUUAAUUAAAAACUCGUUUGGAUUGCUAAUCAGUGGGUUCUAUCUUUCCUUCACCGCUGUACAGCUACGCGUUCACUGUGACUUGACGUUGAUUUUGAUGAGAUCAACAACAAUUUUAAGGAAAGACGUCUAAAAAUAGACUAUAGAGUGGAUGCAGAGGAUGAUGUAGGCUAGCACAAACCACGUGCAACUGCAGGGGGAUGGAGUUUGGUGCCAUGGUCUGAGCCCUGAGGCGGCUAAUAUUGCCACAACUAUAAUCAUACUGCCACACCACAUCUUAUUUUAUUACCAAAAAUGUCCUUUAGAAGUCAAAACUUACUGCGUGACUCCUAGUCCCAUUUUUUUGGGCCCCACCCUAAGGGUUUUGGCACGGGAAUGACGAUAAUUCUAAUACUUAGGGUCUGUUUGAUAACAUACAAAAGUGCUGAAACUAAAUCUUUUCAGACAUUCACAUAUUUUGAGUGUUUGAUAAAUGAAAAUCCAUCUGCUGAACUUAUUAAGCAGUGCUGAAUUUGUGUUUAUCUUUUUGAGCACAAGAAUCCUAACUAAGUGCCUGUUUGAUAACAUAAAAAAAUGCUGAAACUGAAUUCAUUCAGACAUUCAGAUGUUGCGGGUAUUUGAUAAAUAAAAAUUCACCUGCUGAACUUAUUAAGUGGUGCUGAAUUUGUAUGUAUUUUUUCAGCACAAGAAUCGUAGCUGAAUGCUUAAUUUGAUAAGAGUCAAGAGAUUUACUUCAACUACUUUAUCUUAUCUACCAAAUAUAUCCCUGUUUGUUAAUUACAUUCAAAAUCCUUAUUUAAUUAAACAACCUAAUAUUCCCUAUUCAAAAUUCUUAUCUAAUUAAACAAAACAACCUGAUAUUCUCUAUUCAAAAAAUUUUUUUAACAAUAAUAUUUUUUUGCAGUAAUUUUCAUCCACAAACAUUUAUAUUUUGAUAUUUUUUUUGUGCAGAUAAAUAUUAUUUAUGUGAUGCAGCUUAUCCAUACACACGUGACUUUAUGACACCAUAUCGAAAUAUUAGAUAUUGGUUGUUUGAUUUUCGAAAUGCUUCUCGUCUAAGAUCAAAAGAAAAACGCUUUAACCAAGUACAUGCAAGAUUGAGAAAUGUAAUUGAACGUGCUUUUGGAGUAUUAAAAGCUCGUUUUUUCAUUAUCAAAACGAUGAAAUCAUACUCUUUUCCCACACAAAGAAACAUUGUCAUUGUAUGCAUUGCUCUUCACAAUCAUUGUCAUUUUCAUACCUAACAAUUUUAAGUUAAUUAAAUCAUAGAUUCUAUUUCCUUUUUGGAUUAAAAGAUAGAAGGGCAAAAUUGUAUAAUUUAGUUUAUUAAGCAUUAAGUUAUGAAUAUUUAUCAAACAGUAUAAAUAGAUUCAGCAUUAAUAUUCAGACAUUCAUAUAUCUCUUUUCAGUACUUAAAAUUCAGCAAAUUAAUUAUUUCAGUAUUCAGAAUUCAGAUUCAGUGUUAUCAAACGGAGCCUAAAUGCUUAAUUCUGAUAAGAAUCAGUAGAAUUACUUCAACUACCUUAUCUUAUCUACCAAAUAUACCCUUGUUUGUUAAUUAGAUUCAAAAUUCUUAUCUAAUUAAACAAUCUGAUAUUCUCUAUCUAAUGGUUUCUGUUUCUCUUUUCUCCUUUUUUAAUGACUUUCACAUCUUUUCAUAUUUUUCAUAUAAUAUAUUUCAUAUUUUAUAUUAAUUUGAUUUAAAAAUAAAUAUUAUCAUUUUCACACUUAACAAUUUUAAACUAAUUAAAUCAUAGGUUCUAUUUAUUUUUUGAAUGAAAAGAUAUAAGGGCAAAAUUGUCAAAUUAAAUUUAUUAAACAUUUAGUUAUAAAUAUUUAUCAAACAGUAUAAACAAGUUUAGCUUUAAAAUUCAGACAUUCACAUAUUUCUUUUCAGUGCUUAAAAUUCAGCAAAUUAAUUGUUUCAAUAUUCAGAUUUCAAAAUUCAGAUUUAAUUUUAUCAAACGGAACCUUAGUGCUUGGUACACUGUAAUAGGAAUUGAAAUAUUGGAAUCAUAUCCAAAAAUUUGGGGAUUCAUGAUUCCUGACUAAAUUGGGAGGAAUCACUCAAAAUCCUCAAUUCAUUUCCAAUAAUGAAUAAAUAAAAGAUAAAAUAUUUUGAUAAAAUACUUCCUUUCUCCCUCUCCCACCAUCAAGCCUCCCCUUCGUCACUUGCCUUCAACACUCCUCUCUCUCCCAUGGCAUCUGACAACUCCUCCCUCUUCCUUUGUUUCUGACCACUUUUCCCUCCUCCUCGACAUCUAACAACACCCCAUCCUACUUUGUUUCCAAUUUUCCUCCUUUUCCAUGGCAUCUGACAAAUCCCUCCUUUUUUCCCAAUGUCCGUCACUUUCCCAUCGCCCCAGUAGACCUUUUCCUCUCCUCCCUCGCUAUCAAAUCGUCUUCCCCAUCACAAUCGAUCUCUUAAGUUCUCUUCUCUUUGUGAAGGGCUCCAACUUGAUUACAUUGUAUGGUGAUUCUAACAGGUUUUAGCAGAGAACGAAAUUUGCCGUUUCUGUUUGGAAAAUUUUUUGCGAAUGUCUGAAAGUUCUGGUUGCAAUUUUUUGAGAAAAGGGAAAAAAAUGACAAACAUCCAGAUCUUUUAUUGAUUAGUCAUGAGUUUUUGUUGGUAAUUGUUAAACAAAGAACCAAAAAAAGAUUUGGAUUGGUAGUAAUUCAGUGGUGGUCCGAUGGUGGGUGAUAGGUUGCAAUUUUAUCAUUUAUUUUAUUAUUAAUUUCCCUAGUACUUGACCUGAUGUGAAUUAAUUGUUAGAUUCUACUCACUUUUCGUAAUUUAUAUUUAUUUCAGGGAGUAGAACAAAAAUAUCACAAUAAAGGCCAAUUUGUUAGUUAUCGGGAAAGAGUUCACAUAGCAAGCAAUCGAGGACAUUUUUUGAACAAGGAGAUACAAGUCCUUUUUGGUAAUUCGCAGAGGGCAACAUUAAAAGGAGGAACGCAGGGUUGAAGUGGAGAGUCUUCUUCCCCCUGGGGGAACCGCCGCACAGCAGAGGGCUGUCUGGUCCUCUUAGUUUUUCCGUUUCUUUAGUUUUAGCUUAGGAUUUUGACUUUUCUUCUCGUAGGAAUUUUGGGUAGCCUUUAGCUUAGCAACUUUUGUUGACCCUUUUUUUGGCCUUUUAGCUAGUUUGUUCUUACGCAUGGAAGAUGGCUGAAUAGCUGAGGCUUGUUCUUCACGAAUUGAAUUCCCUCAACUUGCGAAUUGAUGGUGGGCAUGAUUAUCAAUCCAGGAAAGAGAACAAUAAUUUAAAAAAUGAAAAAUUAAUUUUGAUGCCAUUCCAACUAUGUUUAUACCAAGCACCAGUCUGUAGAAUGAUACGAGGGGUUCGAACCCAUACUGAUUUUUUGUAUAUCAUUCCAUCUCCAAUUCCAAUUCUAGAACAUGAAACAAGCACCCCCUUAGUAUUUCCUCAGUUGUCGGUCUUUCCUCUCCUUUUCCCCAACCCCAGCCUCCCUACUGAACUAGAAAAGACCUCCCCACUGAACAAACAAUUACCGCCUCGGGGGCAGAGCUAGAAAAGAAAUUUAGUGAGGGUAAAAUUAAGAUAUAAAAUUUUACUAGUUACAAUAUGAAAAAAUAUGUUUAACUAACAAAGCAUGAAAUUAUGCGUAUAAUUAGUCUAUAAUUUAGCAACAAAAUAAAGUAUCUCUCAAAUGUCAAAUCCCUAAUAAAGGUGACAGGUGCCGAACCUGUACAAUAAUAAAUAUCUACUCGAGAAAAAUACAGAUUUUGUAUAUAGCGGUGAGUAUGGUCGAACCCACAGGGACUGGAGAUAAUUCGUUUUUUUUAGAGUCCAAAGUAUGGGGGGUUUUGGAUUGAAUGCUAACUAAAUAAAUUAACUGCAGAAAAUAAUUAAUUAAAAGAAAUAAUUGGAGAAACUCUAGCCAAGGGUACACUUCAGAAAUGGUUCAUGCAACUGAUCAUCGAUUCAAAUAUAAUUCCAACAUUUAUUAAUAUAUUAGUUAUAGUUGUCAUGCAUGCGAUAAACAACCAACCUUUCCUUAGUUUUUCGAUAGUUAAGGUACGACCGUUAACUAUUUCUCUAACCCAAAAAUAAUCUUAAGUACGACCGUAAGAUUUAAUUUCUAGAUUGCAUUAAUAAUUAGAAAUACCCAAUCCUAACUAACAAACACGCUACGAGGGUUUGUUUAAGCUAGAUCGUAUGUUCCCCUGACAUAAACCCAAUUACGCCAGUUGCUACUGAGAUAGAGAUAACGAACAAUUACAGAUUUCAUUACCCCUAUUUAGCAAAAUAACCUAUAUGAAUAAUUAAUUAUUGCGCACUAAUCAAUCAUACAUAAGGGUUACAACAAUUAAAAGCAGGAAACAUAUAAAUACCAAUAAAUGAGAAAAACAAUUAAAAGUGGUUUAGAUCUCACAGUAAUUGCUGAACCAAUUCAUCAGUUGUCCCCUCGACUAGAAGAAUUUAGCCACGCCUCAUGGAAAAAUCUCCACGUAAUUUAACUGAGGUCCAGGCCAUCAAAAGAACCAAGAAAGAAUAAAAACUAAACUAUGCCAAAAGCUAAGCUAAAACUAUUCAUUAUAGCCGCCUGUACCUUUCUCCCUUUCUAAAGCCAAAAGAAAGUCUAAUGCUAUCGCUAGUGGUCCCCACUCAAUUGAGAGUCCAAGGGCCAAAGAAUUGGUGCUUUGCUAAAGUCCUUGUUUUUAGUUUCCUCUCUACCCGUAAGACUCCUAGUACAAGUCCACCCUUUUCAGCAUAAAGAGAGGAAAUCCCUUUUUGUAGCAUCCUGUGGAGCCCCGCUUGUAUUUCCUUUUAGAACUUCCCAUGUGUGGAGUAUUUUUCUCAAUAAAAUCUCCUUUUUAGCACUUGUUUGCUCCACUCCCUGUAAUUAGAGCCAAAUACCAAAUAUAAGUACAUUUCAACAAUUAAAACAAUAUUUGGCAAGAACAAAGAGGGAAAUUAAUCAUAAAAUUAACAACAAAUUAUGCCCUAUCAAAAGGAUUCUUCCACUUCUCCACUCACAACUCUAAAAAUUUUCUCUAGAUUUUUGUUAAAAUGAAAUAAAAAUGAGCAAUAUUUGUGAGUUCCAAUGUGUUGUGAAAAAUGUUUAAAAAUUUUCAAAUGGAUUUCUAUACUGGGAGCAUAUUAGAAUAGAUUUAAAAAAAGAAUAAAUGUAAUUUGAAUCUCUUUCUUUGUUUAGACAAGGUAGUGUCAUUUUUUUUAGUUGUUGUUAAAUUAUUUGAUAUAGGAGAUACAAACAAAAUAUACACAAUUAUUUUAAAUUUUGUUUAAGGAUAGUGAGGAUAAUUUCAUUUAAGUGUGAGGCCAAGCCUGCAAUUUUAUAUGCAGAUACAAAGAAUUUAGUGGGGACAAUCCUCUAAUACUUUAAAUUUUAUUGAAGAGUAAUGGGGAUAAUUUCAUUUAAGUGUGGAAACAAAACCAUAAUUCUAUACAUAGAUAUGGAGAUUAUGGUGGGGUCAAUUGCCCUCCACUAACCCCCACACUGCCUCCAUCACUGUUACCGCCUGUAAUCAAAGCGGACGCAAGAACCUCUGCGGACGCUAUCUCAAUCUUCUCCUCAAAAAUGUCCUAGAAUACAUUAUGCUUCAUUUUGUACACCAAAGGAAGCAAGUCCAUCCCAAUUAUAGCCCUUUUUUUUUUCUAACAUUUUCUUGACGAAAGCAAGCAUUUGACAAAUAAAUCUAAAAUUUUCGAGCAACUUUCAUAAGCCGGCAAAUAAACCAAUUAUAGCCCUUUCAUGCGGGGUUUUUGUUGAUCCCAUCAAAAUCAAUGUACGUCAUGGUGAACGUAUAGCUAUAUAGCGGUGCUAAUCACUUGCUAGAGGGUGAUAUGUCAUGUAGCAUAGGCUAAAAGGCCAGCCUUGAUAAAUUUGAAUAAAAAAAAAGACGUGGGAAAAACCAAAUCGAUAAUUCACGAAGUCAUAUACUGGUACAAAGUUCUUUGUUCAAACAAUGGAUCGUCACCAUUAGCCUUUAUUUGUUCAAACGUCUCGACUCCAACGGACUUUGCGCACUCAGAGUCAAAUUAUUGGACUUUUGGUCUUUUAACAUGCUAUAUUUCUACAAUCCUAUUCGGGUUUUGCCCUCCGCGACGCUGUUUAAAACUUCUAAAUAACACAAGAAACAUGACGAAAAGCAUGUUUAUUUGAUUAUAACAGGAAAACAUAUUGCCUAGAACGGUUAAUAUGCAUAUGUUAAGCAAUUUGACUCAACUUAAAAUUUUGUAGUUACAAGAUAUUAGGGUUUCUUUAUUUUUAGUUAAAAACAUUAAAAUUUUUUAGUUUUUGAAUAAAACUAUAUAUAUUAUUCUGACUUUCGAUCUGCAAUAAACAAGUUCUUACUUCUUGGGUGUGCUCAAAUUAUGGAUGAUAUGUAAAUAUUCAAAGAUUGGAUAGAUUUUCUUCAAGACGCUAUUCUGCUUAUAUAAUAUAGGAAACUCUAGUAGAUGUGCCCUUUUUUGUUUUUUAACUAUAUAGAGGGUCUAUAGGGACUCACAACAAAUAUGAAUUUAGAAUACUUAACCAAACAAAUUAUGUAUUCACGAAAAGAAAUUGCCUUGUUGACGUUAAUUUAUCAUGUGAUUUUGACACAUAAACCUAUAAAUAAUCUAGGUUAGGUUUGAACGUUUAUAAUUACAUAAAUACUUGUUGAUGACACAACAUGAUCCAAUCCUUCUAUGCACUCGCAUGAUACCACAUUUCGUGAUAAGAUCGCGAGUGUGUUUGGACAGGAGAUUAUUUGAAAUAAUUAUUAUAAUACUUUUUGUGAUGUGAUGUAUGUGAGAUAAAAAGGUGGUUGGAAAGAUAAAAAGAUGUGUUGGAAAUAUUUGUGACGCAAGAAAAUUAUUUUUGGCCAAAUAAUGGCUAUCCGAUUUUUCUUCAUUAUGCAUCUCAUAUUUUUAUUUAGGGUUAAAUGCAAACCCCCCUCCCCCCCCCCAAACAAACUAUAUAUGCAGUUGUAGUUUACCCUCUAAACUAUAAUAAUAAGCAUUUUGCCCCCUUGAACGAUAUGUUUGAACAACACUAUCCGUACUAUCUUAUAUUUUUUCUUUUUUCUAUUCUUUUUUUUCAUUUUUUCCUUUACUCCCCUUUCUUUUUUCCCCUUCUCUCAUAGAACUAGCCAAUAUUUCCCUCCAGGGACGAAAGACUUACGUCAAACUUUUUAAAAUUUUUAAAUUGCUUUUUAAUUUGUUUAUUUGUUAAAUUCAUUCUUAAUAAUUCAUCAUAAACUCUUUGUUAUUGCAAAAGAUAUGUAGCUUGUAACAUAAAGUGUGUUAAUCUUGUAAUUCAACAAUUUAAGUACCUAUAAACCAAUUAGAGUUCACAACUAUUCAACUAUUUAUAACAAAAUUAACAUAUUAUAUAUCACGUAAGAAAGAAAAGUUAUAUGUGCAGUGAAACAAAAGAUAAGAAUAAACAACAAUAGUAGUUCAUUUUUUUUUAUUUGUUAUUGAUACUAGUAAUAAUUGAUUAAUCAAUAUCUCUAUUUUGUUCUUAUAUAUUUGAAUAUUUCAAUUUCUUAAAUGACAUUGACUUCAACAUUUGGAAAAAAAAUCUUGUAUACCAUAAAUUUAUUUUCUAAAACAUUGACACACGAAAUUAAGAUAUAAACAAGUUUUGACUAAUCUAGUAUACUGAUUUAAACAAUGCUUAAAGAAAAUAAAAAGGAAGAAUCUAAAAGAAAAUUAUAGGGAAAAAAGAAAAAUAAUGAUGCUUAAGAUAAAAGAUAUAGAUUUGUCCAAAUAUAAUGUGAAAGGGGACAAAGUACUUAUAAAAGUAACUCAGAAGGUAAAAUGCAACCAGGUAUAUGGUUGAUGGAGGAGUUUUUUACAUUUGCUAAUAAUUCAAGAACAUUUGAAGCAAAUGUUAAUCUUUUUAUUUUUCCGAUAGAUUCGACUUUUACAGUCAUCAACUUAAUAUUGACAUAAUACUAUAUAUAUCAAUGUUUUGAAAAUCAGACCGGUUCGACAUAUUGAACUGCAAACUAGCCAUAUCUCUAAUCCGAUUCAAUUGAAAAAUCAAAGAAUUAAUUGAACUAAUCAAAAUUAGUCAAGAACCGAUUGAAUCGGUAAAAAUAGAGAGGUUCAAUCGAUUUUUAUUAAGUUUUUAUUUUAUAAAUAAAUAUUUUAGUUUUAUUCAAAAUUCUUAAUACUAAAAUGAAUAAAAAAUUAUUAAAUAUUUGAAUCUGGGUCGAACUGUGAACCAGAAGAUUUUUCGGUUCACACUUCAGUUCGGGUUUAAAAACAUUGAUAUAUAUAGUAAUUAGAAUCCGAAAUCCCUGCAGUUGGUGGGCCAACUGCCAUGCAAUCAUUUGCUCAAGAUCAUGCAAGAAAGAUACGAUCUGAUCUAAUUCGCAUUAAAAUAAACUCAAAAAAUAGACGUUAUUUGAAGAUAGAUGCAUCACUCAUUGUUAAAUAGAAAAGAAAAUCGAUCUAUAGCUAUUCUAGGAAGCGUUAUAGCCAAAUAUAGUAAAUCCUAGUCUUACCCAAAAAAAAAUUUUAGCAAAUGCUAGUUACCUAGUAAGAAAGAAUUAUUUUAUAAUAUAUUACAAGAAGUGAAUUUUUAUUACACAUAAAAAAGCUAGAGAGAACAAUUUUGCUAAAUUUUCAACUUCCCAAAAAGAUCAACAAUGCAUAGUUAUUAAACCUAUCGGGGAUGAACCUUUCAAAAAAAAAAAUUUUGGGUCCACGGGUUACUGGUUCAAUUAAUGGGUGAGUGGUUCAACCGGUGGGUCACUAAAUAUAUUUAAAUAUUAUGUCUCAUAAUUUUUUAUAUGGUUGAAAUUAUAAAUUAUGCCAUAAUAAAUGCUCGAUUAGUCUAAUUUAUUAUAGAAUCAUUAAUUCUUAUAAGAAUUAACAACCUAAAUUUAAUUAGUAAUAUACCAAAUUUCAAGUAUAAAAUUUUAUCUAAAUGUAAUUAUUUAGUUUAUUUGUGAAUUUUAAGUGCAAAAGUUUAUUAAGAAUGAUAUUUAUCUUUAAAAUGAAUUGUGUAACAUAUUAUUUUUUAAGUUAAUUUCAUAACUUAUAGAGCUUGAGGAAUAAUAAAAUGUUAUUAAAAGAUUCCAAAUAGAAUUUGUUUUCAAGAGAUAAAAUAAGAAUAAAAGUCUAACAUAUAAUAUAAGAAGGAUAAAAUCAUCAACAAAUGGGUGGCUAUUCUGGGGGCAACUGUAGUCUACUUUCUUGCAUGAGGUUCUAAAUUCAAAUGUCUAUUCUAGUAUCUUCACAAAAUUUUUCCCUUAACAUGUAGCCGGUUCCUCCCGCCCGGCUCAACAGCUGGUUCAUCGAAUCUCUACUCUUAACAUCUUCACAAAUUUUUUGCCUUUAACAUCUAUUCUAACACAGUGACUUGUACAUCACUCAUUUUCCCUUAACAACAUGUGAUGCUGGAAAGGCAGUAAAUCGAAUCAAUUGGUCGGUUGGUCCACCCAUCGUACCACCCAGCUUCUAUAUUUCAGCAAGUUGUGCACUCUGCAGGCAAGGAGGAAAAAACCAUAAUAGAGUUCUAAAGUUCCGACAAUAUUUCAUGGCAAACAAAUCCGGCAGCUUACAUGUUGUCAUGUUCCCAUGGUUAGCCUUCGGCCAUUUCAUCCCUUUUCUAGAGCUCUCCAAGUUCAUAGCUCAAAAGGGUCACAAAGUUAGCUUCAUUUCCACCCCCAAAAACAUCGAUCGCCUCCCUAAACUCCCACCGAAUUUAGCAUCUUCUAUUACUUUCAUAAAAAUCCCACUUCCCCCAGUUGAUGGGCUACCAGAAAAUGUGGAGGCCACGGUAGACCUCGGCGGUCUUGAUGUUGCCUUUCUCAAGAAAGCCUAUGAUGGCUUCGAGCCCGAUUUGACUCGUUUCUUGGAAGACUCAGCUCCGGACUGGAUUAUUUACGACUUUGCUCCAUACUGGUUACCUCCCAUUGCGGCUAAGCUUAAUAUAGCGAGAUCGUUCUUCAGUAUUGUUAGCGCCUCAACUGUGGUAUUCUUUGGACCAUCUUUUCAUGCAAUGAUCAACGGUACUGAUCCCAGAAGUAAGGUGGAGGAUUAUAUAGUUCCGCCGAAGUGGAUCCCAUUUGAGAGUAAAGUGGCUUAUAAGCUGUACGAGAGUAAAUGGAUUGUGGGAGCUAGUAAUCUAGAUGGCUCGGGUGCAUCGGAUAUGUAUCGGAUUGGAUCGGUUAUAAAGGGUGCAGACGUCGUUUUAGUGAGACAUUGCCGCGAGUUUGAAGGCCAGUGGUUAAAUUUGCUUGAAAAUUUGCAACAACGGCCUGUGAUGCCGCUGGGAUUGAUGCCACCCAAGGUGGAAAAAAGCGGCCUUGAAAGCAACGAGUCAUGGAUUGCAAUCAAGAAAUGGUUGGAUGGUCAAGGUAAAGGCUCGGUGGUUUAUGUGGCAUUUGGGAGCGAGGUGUCCAUGAGUCAACUGGAACUCGGUGAGUUAGCCCUCGGGCUGGAGUUAUCCGGGGUGCCGUUUUUCUGGGCUCUAAGGAAUCCAUCUGGGCUGCCAGAGGGGUUCGAGGAUAGAGUCGAGGGAAGGGGUAUUGUUUGGAAGAAUUGGGCACCUCAGCUUAACAUACUGAGUCAUGACUCAGUGGGUGGGUUCCUGACUCACUGCGGGUGGAGUUCGAGUAUAGAAGGACUCAUGCUUGGUCAUCCACUCAUCAUGCUGCCGUUCGUCAUCGAUACAGGGUUGGUUGCUCGGAUUCUGGAGGAAAAACAGGUGGGCAUAGAAAUACCAAGAAAUCCGGUAGAUGGAUCGUACACGAGAGACUCAGUGGCCAAAUCGGUGAGGUUGAUCAUGGAAGAAGAUGAAGGAAAAUCCUACAGGGGCAAAGCAAAAGAAAUUAGCGCAGUAUUUGGAGAUCGAGAGCUGCACGACGGCUACUUACAGAGGUUUGUAGAUUACUUGGAAAAGAACGUGCGCAAAUCCACAUGAGAAGAAUUAGUACUAUCUUGUAAAAUUUGGCACUAGUAUUAUUGUACAAUAAUCAGUGCACUAGUAUCCAUUGUGCAAUUUAAUUUUUCUGGUUGCAUUCUUGAUCUACAAGCAUAUAACUUCAAUUAAUUAUGUUGACUGAAUCACUAUAAUGUAUUGCUGCCUUAAAACUGAAGGGGUUUUUGAUAUUCAACUUUCAACAACACAUUAACGACUCCACAUAAUCUGCUGCUCCAUGCAGCAGCUGUCCAGUGCAAGUAUUAAAAGAAAAAAAAAUAUUAAAUAAAAGAUAAACAGGUCGCCUUCAAAUUUGUUCAUUUGAAUCAUUCCUUUGGCUAAAUGAAUCACGAAAGCAAACGCCCAUUAAAUCCCGGGGAAUAAGAUACAAGAACAACUUACCGCGGAACACACUGAUUUUUCCAUCAGACAACUUCAGAUCUUUCUAGUGUCAUGAAAAGAUUCUCAAUAAACAAUUGCUGACAAUCUAGCGGAAGAAAACAAGAAAAGAAAUUGUUAAUAUAUGUCAACAUCGACCACCAACUUCAGAUCUUUCUAGUGUCAGUAAAUGUAAUACAUACCCAAUAAUCGACCACCAACAUCUAAUAAAUGUCAACAAAUUAUUGUGCUAAGAUGUCAUCAAACAGUGAGGCGUGAUUCAUGCUGUCUACAACUAUGUAAUACCAUAGAACUCUUUGAGGAAAAGGAACUUAAACAAUACCCCAAGUUGAAAUCUGUCUUCCUAAAGCCCUGAAUUUGUCCAUGGCCAACGAGUCCAAGUUGCACUUAGUAGUGAUGUUGCCUUGGCUGGCCUUUGGGCAUUUCAUCCCAUUUUUAGAACUCUCUAAAUUCAUUGCUCAAAGGGGUCACAGAGUCACCUUCAUAUCCACCCCUAGAAACAUCGCACGCCUCCCAAAAAUCCCUCCACAUCUUGUUUCUUCCAUCACCUUUGUUAAAAUACCACUGCCCCAAGUUGAAGGACUACCAAAAAAUGCUGAGGCCACCAUGGACAUCCACACAGAUCAAAUGUCUCUAUUAAAGAAAGCCUAUGAUGGGCUUGAACCUGAACUGACUCAAUUCUUGGAGAAUUCACUUCCUGACUGGACCAGUUUCAGCUAAGCUAGGAAUUUUGAAAUCCUUCUUUUGUAUUAUCAGCGCCUGGUGAGGAUGGUCAUUUCGGCUCGGAUCUCCCGAGACCUCAUCCGGUGGUACAUCCUGAAGGACCACCUCGGCACAUUAUUCACCCAGGCGGUCAAUACUCUACUGCCACCUCGUCUUAGACCUUCAAGUCGGUCGCCGAGGUGGCGGCUGAUUAAUAAUGCCUGCAGAGGGUAGAAGAUGACGUCUGACACCUGACAACCGGCGAACUGACACCCUGACAUGCCGUCCGAACCUGGUGAAGAUCCUGCCACAUCCUGUCACAAAGACUGGUCAAAUCAACUUGAUACUCCAUCAUGUCAAAUCCCUGGGGACCUGUGCAGGUAGUCUCCCUCUCUCCAGGUGAUUCUCUAUAAAUACCCAACAUCUCUCCGAAGGAGAGAGAUGACCAAUUUCUGGUAGAACACUAUCUCCACUCAUUGCUUUCCUACUUCUCUAUAUCCGAACUAACUUAAGUUUCGGAGUUAUACCGGGGGAUCUAGCCCCUUUUCUUAUCCAAACAGGUGACUUCGUCCAAGAGAGUUGCCCAAGGUAAAGAUACUCCUCCAUUCGAGGUGACUCGCUCCUGCAGGCCGAAAAUCACCUCUUCAAUUGGCGUCGUCUGUGGGAAAGCAAAGACAUUAGAAAAUGAAGCCUGCGCGUUCUAGGAGCAGAAAAGCUCUCACUAUAGAGGCUGAGCAAAGCAAUGCAGCUCAACAUGAAGAUAUCUCUGGAGGGCAUGAGUUCCCAAGGACUCAGCCCGCGAACGAAGAAGCCAUAACUCGUAUGGCCGAGUUCGUAACAGAGAACCCCAACAUCUUUGAGGAGUUGGGAAGAUGCCUAAAAAGACAAGGCAAGCAAAAGGCCGAGUCUUCUAAGAGGAAGUCGGAUGGGUCUCCUGAGGACUCGUCUGAGGAAGAAUCUGAUGGGAGGCGCUUAAGCCGAAGUGCCUCAAAGCGAGCAUUUUCUAAGGCCACCUCUAAGGUAGCCUCCUUGACCAAGGCAUUUUCUCGAGGGCUCUUGGGGAGACGACCCGAGGAAGAGCCUCGGCCCUUGGGAAUACCUGGGGUGGACUGCAUGAGGGCUCCACCAUUCACAGAUGACAUAAACGAGGAAAGGCUCCCUCCUAACUUUAAGCUCCCUGCAGUACAAUCUUACGACGGCCGAGGUGAUCCCGAAGAUCACAUCCAUGCCUUCAUCUCGACCUUCCGCCUAUACUGCAUUCCAGACCCUGUUAUAUGCCGGGCCUUUCCAGUAUUCCUCCGGGGAACAGCUCAAAAAUAGUUCUGGGCCCUAGAACCUAGAAGCAUCUCGACCCUGGGUGAGUUAGUGAAGAAGUUUCUCCACCGGUUCGUCUCCUCCCGACUUACGACCAGGACCUCGGCUUACUUGCUCACCGUGCAGCAGAACCCGGGAGAGUCACUCCGGUCGUAUGUCCGGAGGUUCCAUGAGAAAAGCGUUCAGAUACCUGACCCCAAUGAGCAGGUAACCCUCGCUGCCUUUACCCAUGGACUCGUUGUCGGAGAGUUCAAUACGGGGAUCCAUAAGAAGUAUCCCCGCACAUUGCAUGAAUUGUGGUUGAAUGUCGAAAAGGGCAUACAGGCCGAAGACCUCCACCGCAUGAAGAAAGAGGUCCAAACCACUCGCCCAAGGGCUGAUCCCAGAAAGGGAAAAGACGCUGGCCAAACUGAAGUGGGGUCGGGAAGUGGCUUCCGAAGUCCUGGCCAAGACCGCCGCAGCGUGUUCGACAGGAUAUCCAAGGGGAAGUCACCCAUUCCCGAGUCCGAGUUGACUCCUUUGAAUACUAUCCGAUCUCAGGUGUUGUCCGUAAUGGAACAAAACAACCUCGGGAAGGCCCCACCGAGGAUGUUUGGAAGCCGAGACAAGAGGAACUCGAACCUCUACUGCUUGUAUCACCGUGACAUUGGUCACGAAACUGAGGAUUGCAACGAUCUCAAGAAGGAGAUCGAGAACCUCAUUAGAUGGGGGCACUUGAAACAGUUCAUCCGCCGAGGAGGAGGCCACCAACGCGACGAAAACCGGCGUGACAAACGAGGUGACCAGCGCCGAGAUGAGCGGCGGACCACCAGAAGCAGUUGCCGACCCCCUGAGGAUCCCAGAAAGACGAAAAGGCCUCCCCCAGACGGAUCUGCAGGACAUGGGUUGGGAUAUGGGCCGAAUAUCGCUGGAGUCAUUAACACCAUUGCCGGAGGUCCGACGGGAGGGGAUAGUCAGAACUCCAGAAAGAGGACCUAUAGGCAGGCCAAUCCGGAUCAGGUCGAGUCGAGUUCUCGCCUGUCUGAGAUGAUCACCUAUGGACCCAGUGAUCCCGUCCCAGCUGCCUCCAGCAGUCAUGAAGUUUUGGUGAUUGAAGUCCUCACCAACAACUACAUUGUGAAAAAGGUCUACAUAGAUCCGAGAAGUUCAGUUGACGUCAUGUACCUUCGCACCUUUGAAAGUCUUAAACUGGCCAGGGAGCACAUGACCCCGGUGAGAACCCCUCUUGUAGGGUUCGAGGGGCACGUUGUGCACCCCGAGGGAAUGGUAACCCUGACGGUGACCGUGGGGCACCACCCCCGCUGCCGAACUAUCCCGGUGAAUUUCGUGGUGGUUAAGGCUGACUCCCCAUAUAACCUGCUCUUGGGUCGACCCACUCUUAAUGCUCUGCGGGUGGUGUACUCUACCUACCACCUAAGCUUUAAGUUUCCUACCCCCGCAGGGGUGGCCGAAAUCAGUAGCGACGUCUGCGCUGCCCGGGAGUGUUACCUCGCCACUCUACAAGCGGUCUCCCCCUCAAUCUCCGGAACGAGGCCCGAGAAGAGGUCAAAUAUCCUCUCAAUAGAUAGUAUCGACUCUCAGCGAGUUGAGAAGGUCCCGAGGCUGGAGACUAGGGAUGAGGUGGAAGAGUUUCCCGUGGACCCCACGAAGCCUGAUCAGACAGUUCGCAUUGGUACCCGAUUGCCCGGUCCUGUCCGAAGAGGUAUGGUGGACCUCCUCAGAGAAUAUCGGGACGUCUUUACUUGGGCCGCCGAAGAAGUCCAAGGAGUCCCGCACCACCUCAUGAUGCACAAGUUGAACGUCGACCCCCAAGUCCGUUCGGUCAAACAGAAGAGAAGGCACCUCGGCCCUGAGCGCAGCCGAGCUGUCGGUGAGGAAGUGGACAAGCUCUUACCCACUAAAAUAAUCCGGGAAGUCCAAUACCCAACUUGGGUGUCCAACCCGGUCAUGGUCAAGAAGGAUACGGGGGUUUGGAGAAUGUGCGUCGACUUCACCGAUCUCAACAAGACCUGCCCCAAGAACUGUUACCCAUUGUCCAAGGUUAAUAUCUUGGUAGACUCGGCAAUGGGAUACGAGAUCCUCUGUUUCCUGGAUGCGUUCAAAGGUUAUCACCAAAUUGGUGUGAGCCAAGAAGACCAGGAGAAGACGGCCUUCUACACUGACCGCGGCACGUACUGUUACACUACCAUGCCAUUCGGGCUGAAGCAUGCCGGAGCCACUUACCAACGCUUGGUCAACCAAGCAUUCAAGUCUCAGAUCGGCCGGAACGUUGAGGCCUAUGUGGAUGACAUCCUCCUCAAAAGCCAGACGACCUCUGCUUUUCUGGCCGACCUGAAAGAGGUCCUUGAUAUUCUCCGGAAGACGCGAAUGAUGCUGAACCCCAAGAAAUGCGUCUUUGGGAUCACCUCGGAAAAAUUUUUGGGUUACCUCGUCUCAAGACGAGGCAUAGAAGCGAACCCGGAUAAGGUGCGAGCCAUCCAGGAGAUGUCUCCACCUCAGUGCAUCCGCGAUGUCCAGAGGUUGACGGGGCGAUUGGCCGCCCUGAACCGGUUCCUAUCGCAGUCAGCUUCCAAGGCCCUGCCAUUUUUUAAAGUCUUGAAGAAAGCUGACCACUUCUCCUCGACUGAAGAGUGUCAACAGGCGUUUGAGCAGCUGAAGGACUACCUUCACUACCUUCCCACGCUCACCUCACCUCGUCCAGGGGACAAGUUGAUCUUAUACCUCUCUGCUGCGGUCGAAGCCGUGAGUGCCGUGCUGAUAAGGGAGGAAGGAGUCCAAAUGCCCGUCUACUACGUUAGUCGAGUUCUCCGAGGUCCCGAGACAAGAUACACACAAGCGGAGAAACUUGUGCUGACCCUGAUCCAUGCAGCCCGCAGACUCAAGCCCUAUUUCCUAGCUUACCACAUCUGUUUGAGGACUGAUCAACCACUCCGGCAGAUCUUGACACGACCUGAAGCAUCGGGACGUCUUACCAAAUGGGCCAUUGAGCUGGGGGAAUAUGACCUCUCUUAUGAAUCUCGCACGGCAAUUAAGGCCCAGGCUCUCGCGGACUUUUUAGCCGAGCUCACCUUUGAUGAGGUGAAAGAACCCAUCCCAACUACCAUCCCGGUCACAGCUGAAGUGGCCAUCGCAGGGCUCCAGUAAUGGAUUCUACACGUGGAUGGAUCGUCCAACAGUGAGGGUAGUGGAGCAGGCUUGCUCCUCGAAGACCCCCAGGGAGAUGUGUGCUCGUACGCCCUGAGGUUCGACUUCGCUACCUCCAACAAUGAAGCCGAAUACGAAACUGUCAUAGCCGGCUUACAACUAGCUCGAAAACUCGGGGCCGCACACAUCUUGGUCUAUAGUGACUUCCAACUCAUCGUGAACCAGAUAUUGGGUGAAUACGAGGCCAGGGAUGAGGUGAUGCAUCGUUACCUCUCUAAGGUCCUCCAGCUGGUGGCGCACUUUGAGUCUUUCGAAAUUCAAAGGAUACCGCGGUCACAGAACCGGAGGGCUGAUGCUCUCUCCCGACUCGCUUCUACUUCUUUUGGCGACCUGAACAAGACGGUUCUCGUAGAAGUCCUAGUCGAGUCGGGUUACGAAGGAGAGGUUGUAUAUCCCAUUUAUCCCGGGGACACUUGGAUGGGGCCUUUGGUUCGAUUUCUCAGCCGGGGUGAGCUCCCAGACGAUCGAGCUGAAUCACGGAAGCUUCAACGAAAAGCAGCUCGGUACGCCCUCCUACAAGACCUCUUAUACAAGAGGUCUUACCUCGGCCCCUGGCUACGAUGUAUCACGCCGGAGGAAGGCUGGAGAAUCCUCCAAGACAUACAUGAGGGACUCUGUGGUGCUCAUGUCGGCUACAGGAUGCUCGUUAAGAAAACCCUGUUGCUGGGAUACUUCUGGCCAACCAUGAGAGUAGAUGUCCAGGUCAUGGUCCUUAGUUGCUCCUCCUGCCAGCAUCACGCCCUUGAGCACCACCAGCCGACCAACCUUAUGAUCCCCAUCACCUCGCCAUGGCCAUUCGAGCAAUGGGGAACUGACAUAAUUGGUCAAUUCUCCAGGGCUCCAGGCAACUAUGCCUACGUGGUGGUGGCCGUGGACUAUUUCACCAAGUGGGUUGAAGCUGAGCCCCUGAGAAGCAUUACCGGGGCUGCCGUGCAGAAAUUCUUUUGAAAAAACGUGAUUUGUCGCUUCGGCUUGCCCCGGGUGGUAAUCUCGGAUAAUGGCAGGCAGUUCGCAGAUAAUCCUUUCAAGGAGUGGUGUGAAAACUUGGGGAUUAAGCAACAUUUCACUUCGGUUGGACACCCUCAGGCAAAUGGACAGGUUGAGAACUUUAAUCGAACUCUCCUUCAUGGUCUCAAAACCAGGCUUCACCGGACUGGAUCGUCCUGGAUGGAAGAGCUUCCUAGCGUGCUGUGGUCCUACCGAACGACGCCGAGAUCAGCAACUCAAGAAACUCCGUUCUCUCUAACUUAUGGAUCCGAGGCUGUCGUCCCAGCCGAGUUCAUCACUCCCAACCCGCGAAUGGCCGCGUAUGCUGCCGAGGUCAACGAAGAGGAGCGACGAGUUGAUCUCGACCUCGCCGAAGAGAAACGCGAUAUGGCCGCGGCCAAAGUUGCUAUUUAUAAAAAUAUCCUAACUGGUUAUUAUAAUGCUCGAGUCAGACACCUAAGAUUCAGUCCGGGAGACCUGGUACUCCGGAAGAACUCGAUUAGCCGAGCUGAACCCCAGGGGAAACUUAACCCCAAAAGGGAGGGACUCUACCGUGUUGUUGAGUCCAGCAAAAAUGGAUAUUGUAAACUAGCUUACCGAGAUGGUUCUCGGGUGCCCCGAACUUGGCACGCUGAAAACCUUAAGUUGUAUCACCCUUGAAAGGUACGUGUUCUUAAAUUUCACUUCUUUAAGUUAUUUCUCACUCAUUCUUAUUUCAUUACAAGUGACAAAUAAGGGGACAAAGCAGUAGUCAAAAGAAAACUGAACUCGAUCGAAAAGAAGGCACAAAUGUGCAAGGAUAAAAAGUCAACUUUAUUGAAGUAAAGGCCGAGGUUGUAAAUGACCUCGGCCCCAUUGACAAAAGUAAAAUACCGAGGCUAUCCAUGACCUCGGCCCUCUAUUACAAAAAUAAGUGCUUCUAAGCACCUCCUGCCCCGGCGUCCUGCUUUCCAAUAGUCUCGCCCCCUGCCUCGAUUUUUUGCUGUCCUUCACCUCCUCCGCCGGCCUGGUCCUCUCCAGCGCUGUCACCAUCUAGAUCGAACUUUUGGAGCUAUUUGUUGAACUCAACACGCACCUCGGCUAGGUCUCUCCCACAUUGGAUACCCUCAGCCAUGCGGUCGCACAGUUCCUUGGCGUCCUCGUUGUAGUGUUAAGCACUUUGAAGGGACUGCAGCUGCUCAGAAGAAAGAAAGGACGCCACCUUGUUAAUGGCUGAGGUAUACUCGAACAUGAACCUCGGCCGGGUGAGCUCGCCGAGGUCACGAAUAAAUGACUCCGACUUCCGGAAGGCCUCCACGGCAGUGACCCCGGCUUCGUUGAUGGCCUCCUUGGUCGACUGUUCUUCUUCAACUCUCCUCCUUCUCUCCUCGUCAAGAGCAGUUACGAGGGAGCUGUUUGCGACCUCGGCCUUCUCCCUGACCGCGUCGGCUUCGUCUCGUUCCAGCUCGAUGGCCUCUAGCUUCUUUUCCAGAUCGGCGAUCUUCUUCUUGAGCUCGGCAGGAGGCUCAUAAUUUUUCAUGAACUUUCCAUACCGUUGGAUCAUCUCGGCAAAAAAGGCCGUGGUGGAAGCCCACGACACCGAGGCGCUCUGCAUCAGCUCCCUUGCGGAGAGCUUUCUGGCAUAAGUACUGUCUCGAGGCAGCACCGAGUGCACCAAAAGCUCCUGAGCCACCAGAGGAUUCUUGCAACGAUCGUUGACGUUAAUAUCCCACUCCGGACACCAAUGUGAUCCGGGGUGCCUCUUAUCCUCCUCGGCUGCUUUGUGGGGCACGUGGUGGAGGUUGAACAAAGAUGACCUCGUGACGGGGUUCUCUGGGAACACAGUCACACCCUGACCUCGGGGGGGAGUGGCAAUUGUGACCUCGCGAGAAGGAAUUCCCACAGGAAUCGUCGAGGCUCGGGAACCUCCUGGAGUGGCCGAGGUGUGCGAGUCCUCGCCCACGAUCAUCACGGCAGGCUCGCGGUAGUCUCUUGCCGUGGCGGUUUUCUUAGCCGGCCUGGUAGAGGGCUUAGCGGCGUCCUUGCGCUUUUUGGGAGCUCUCUUGACCACCUCGACAUCUCCCGAGAUUAUCAGGUCGGAAAUCUUCGUCACUGCAAAGCAUGAAGAAGAGUUAGUUAGAAUUCAAGAAAGAUAAACAAAAAGGGAAGAAAUGGAAAAAUACAAGGUCUGUGAAGCCUAGUCGAGAGUAAGACGGGCUGAUCAGAGCUCGUCAAGGCUCGACUAAUCCCGCCUUCCACGAGCACCACUUCGGGGAAAUCCCAGCAGUUUAUCCUGAGGCCCGACCCCGUUAACUUCUGGAAGUUACGCUCUUCUAACUUCCCUGAAGAUGUCUCUUUGAUCGAGGUGGGAGGCCUCCACCAGAAUCCGCGAUGGAAGUCAUCAGCCGAGACGAAGAAGAAGUUUUGCUUCCACUCUUUUAUUGAGCUCGGAGCAUCAACCACCAAUUUCGGAACUUUGUUUCCGAAGUAGAACCAUCCUUUUUCACUCCCGCUGUUCUUGAGUGAGUAACAGCGGCGAAAGAGGUUGACCGAAGGUUCUAUCUCCUGAUGUCGGCAGAGUAGCUGGAAGCCGACGAGAAUGCGGAUGGCGUUAGGGGUGCGUUGAGUGAUUCUCACCCCCCAGUACCUCAGGCAAUCCCGAAGAAAUCUCGUCGUGGGCACUCUGAGCCCGGCCUUCAGCUGUUCCUGGUAGAUAGCCACUCUGCCCUUUGGUGGCAGUGCAGCUGACUGAUGAGGCUGGGGUAUAUAAAUGCUGUAAUCCCUUCUCCAGGGAUACCUGCGGACCACCUCGGCUAUUGAGGCGUGUCCCAUACCACUAGUGAAGAACGGCAUCUGGCCGUAGUUGAGAGUUGCUACGUUCAGAGGAGUGGAAGGUUCUUGUACUCCCUCGUAUCUAGGGAUCUCAGUCCCGAGGUCAUUAUUGUAUAGGACAUCGGGCUCGACCUCAAUCUCUUCGGGCUGCACCUCAGCCGCCUCAACUCGGCGUGAUGCCUCGGCACUUCCUUCCUCAGCUCGGUGAGACGCCUCCGUGCCUCCGCCCUCAGACGCGGUCCUUUCUUGGGUGAGGUCAGGCCUUACUGUCUCUUUAUGCGUACGAGCUGUUCUAGCCAUUGUCAGAAGAGGAAGAAGUGAACUUACUUAGAAGAUGUGAUUCGAAAGGAGUGCCGAAGAAGAUGUGGUUUAGAAGGAUUGCCGAAGUGAAAAGAUGAAGAAACAGAGCUCUGAGGUGAUUCACGAUUUUUGGUAAAGAAUGAAACGGUAAAAAGGGGACCUAUUUAUAGGCACCCAGGGGAACAGUGAAGAGGCGCGUUCUCUCUCUCUCCUCAUUAAUGAAAAGGCUGUUCGUCUGCCUCCGAUUUCGCCCCUGUUCAUGCACCUGCCGCUCAGACUGGCAGCCAUCGCGUCGAUCCCUCAGUAGUCCCAUCCGCGCAGUCAUGAUUACUGCAUCUCGUGUCUUACACGCUUAUCAGCUUCGGGAAGUAACGACUUCGGGAGACCACGACCUCGAUUUCCUCGAAGCUUGGGGGGCUUAGUGAGGAUGGUCAUUUCGGCUCGGAUCUCCCGAGACCUCAUCCGAUGGUACAUCCUGAAGGACCACCUCGGCACAUUAUUCACCCAGGCGGUCAAUACUCUACUGCCACCUCGUCUUAGACCUUCAGGUCGGUCGCCGAGGUGGCGGCUGAUUAAUAAUGCCUGCAGAGGGUAGAAGAUGACGUCUGACACCUGACAACCGGCGGACUGACACCCUGACAUGCCGUUCGAACCUGGUGAAGAUCCGGCCACAUCCUGUCACAAAGACUGGUCAAAUCAACUUGAUACUCCAUCAUGUCAAAUCCCUGGGAACCUGUGCAAGUAGUCUCCCUCUCUCCAGGUGAAUCUCUAUAAAUACCCAACGUCUCUCCGAAGGAGAGGGAUGACCAAUUUCUGGUAGAACACUAUCUCCACUCAUUGCUUUCCUACUUCUCUAUAUCCGAACUAACUUAAGUUUCGAAGUUAUACCGGGGGAUCUAGCCCCUUUUCUUAUCCAAGCAGGUGACUUCGUCCAAGAGAGUUGCCCAAGGUAAAGAUACUCCUCCAUUCGAGGUGACUCGCUCUUGCGGGCCGAAAAUCACCUCUUCACCUAGUGUUUGGGCUUUCUUGGACCAUCAGACAUGUUGAUUAAUGGCACAGAUCCAAGAAGCAAGGCUGAAGACUUCAUGGUCCCGCCGAAGUGGGUAGCUUUUCAAACAAAAGUGGUUUACAAGAUCCAUGAAACUAAUUCCGUUCUGCGAAUUGUUAAUCCCAACGUUUCAGGUGUCUCGGAUGCAUACCGAGUUGGAAUGAUGACCAGGGAUUCAGACGCUGUUAUUGUAAGACACUGCUUGAAGCUGCUAAAUGAGAUACAUCCCACUCCAGUGAUGCCUCUGGGAUUAGUGCCACCCCAUUCCCGAAUUGACAACAAAAUUGAUGAUGAGAUGAAUGAUGAAGCUUGGUUUCCAAUCAAAGAAUGGCUCAAUGGUCAAAACAGAGCCUCUGUACUUUAUGUAGCAUUAGGGAGCGAGGUGCCACCCAGUCAAACAGAUAUCAGCGAGCUGGCUCUUGAGCUAUCAGGGGUGCCUUUCUUUUGGGUUCUGAGGAAGCCACCCGGCUUCAGUGAAUCUGAAUCAGUUCAGUUGCCUGAUAAGUUCAAAGAGAGAGUUCAGGUAAGGGGAAUGGUAUGGAAAGGUUGGGUGCCACAGUUGAAGCUACUGAGUCAUGAAUCCAUUGGCGGGUUCUUGACUCACUGCGGUUGGGGUUCAACUAUAGAGGGACUCGCAUUUGGUCAUCCACUUAUUAUGUUACCCUUUCUGCUGGAUCAAGGGUUAAAUGCUAGGGUUCUAUAGGACAAGCAGUUGGGGAUAGAAGUGGCAAGAAGUGGACAGGAUGGGUCAUACUCGAGAAACUCAGUGGCCCAGACAAUUAGAUCGAUCAUGGUUAAAGAAGAGGGAAAGAUAAUCAGAGACAAGGCAAAAGAAAUGAGCGGAGUAGCAGGAAACAAAGAACUACAUGAUGCUUACAUAAACAAAUUUCUUGAGCUUUUGGGGCUAAUUUCUUAGAAUAUUUACAUUAAAAAAAAACAACCGCCAAAUGCACCUCUGACAUGGAAUGUUUCUCAUUCUAUAGCUGCCGUGCUAACUCAGCACGACAGCACAGUUUUUCACUGCAGACGUCUGUAAAAAUGUCGGGUGGCAGCAGGUGUCAGUCGCGGACGUGCUGAUUGGGCACGUCCACGACUGACAGAAGCAGACUGCCACGGUCCUGUAAGUCAGGUGCGGACGUGCUGACUAGGAGCAGACUGCCCAGUCAGCAUGUCCUCAGAACUUGUCCUCAGACUCGGAGCAAAGAAAUGAGGUUGUAGAAAGAUAUGGGAUUUUCUUAAGGGGGUUUGCCCCUCUCCUGAGCCAGUGACUUUCUUCUGUUUUUUGCCCCCGAGUCUCCACAAAGCCAACAACCUUUCAGCUGCAGAAACUGAAGAUGUUUUCUAGCCAUGGAUCCAUGGACGAAUUGAAGUGCGAGGUCUGUUUCUGGUUCCUCAUCAUCAAUCCACAAUAUUCAUGCUCUUCCAAACACUCCCAAAAAAAAAAAAAGGAAAGAAAGAAAGAUCACGGAGGACUGAAUUUGAGACCAUGAUGAUAAUUUCUCUGAGCAAAUGAAAUUUUGGCACUGAGACAAAGUGGCCCGUAUCUUGGUUGGGCAACUCGGAUGGCAGAAGUAGGAGAAUCUGGUAUGGGUUCUCUCCGACAUGCAACCGAUUUUUGCAGUGAUGGCGGUUUACUUCCUCAUUGCCUUACUGAUAUGACGGAUCUGAGCCUUAACUAAGUUCCAUUCUUUUUUUUUUUUUUUUUGUUGAGAAUCCAUAUUCAACAAGCUCGCUUCUCACCUCAAUCCUCAUUAGAGUUUUCUUUCUUUUCCUUUCUAUCCUAAACUCACAAACUAGCCUUGGUCUCUACAUGCUUUAUCAGCUUUUUCAGAUCGAGAGGCGUCGGUAGAAGGAGGACCCCUAGAAUGAGGCAGUGUAAUUGUGGGGGAGGUAGGGAGUUUUGUGGAGGGUUCUUGCCCCUAGAAUGGAGGGUUCUUUCUUGCCCCUAGUUAGAUUUUUGAGCUAAGCCCGUAUCUUGGCUGGGCAAGAAUCACAAGUACUACUAGUGAUUUUUGCAGCCAUGGCGGGCUUGAGCCAUUUUCUGUCUGAUUAAAGGCAAAUCUGAGCCUCCUUUCUCUUUUUUCUUUACUUUGCUGAUUUAUUUUUCCCUUAUUUGCUCUGUUUUCUUGUACAGUUUCCUCAUUAUGGUAUUAUGUGUCAAAAUUCUGUUUUCAUAUCCGAAGCUUUUUUUUCCUCGUUAUGGCUAAUUUUCACAUGGCGUUGUCGGCCUUUGUCACGGGCAGAAAGCAGGCGCCUGACACCUUUUUUUUUUUUUUUAACUGUCUUCUGCAGCCGUGCUGACUGGGCACAGCCUCAAGCAAGCAUUGGCUUUUUGACCGUGCUUACUUUUUCCAAAAAAAAAAAAAUCAAAUUUAUUAUGCGGUCGUGCUGAGUCAGCACGGCACGUAUAUAUUAAGAAACACCCAUGUCAGAGGUACACUUGGCGGAUUAUUUUUUUUUUUUACCUAUAAUCUAAGGAAUUAGCCAGCUUUUGGAGGAUACUCAACACAAACCCAAGAACUAAUUCCGACUGUAAGUUUUUUACAACAAAUUUGAUCAACUUGAAGUUUUUCACAACAAAUUUGAUCAACUUGCGCCCCUCCCACAAUAUGUUUAUCACUAGUUAAUUCUUUUUCUUUUUAAUUUUUCUUUAUGAAAGUGCCAUGUAGUAAUUCAACUCUUCGUUUCUUUAUAUUAGCAUGCCGCCUAUUAAUAUAAAAUUAGUGUCUGGUAUAACUUUUAAACAUCAAAUAACGAAUUCCCCUUAAUUUCUUUUUUGUAAAAAUGUCCUACGGUGAUCUAACUCUUACUUUCCUAAUAUUAACAAUCGCAAGUAUAUCACUUUAAUUUAGUGUAUGAUUACUUUAACUUUUAAAUAGCAACUAAGAAAAUACUAAUUUUUUCUAGAUAUUAAUUAUUAGAACUUUGAAGUAGCAACUAAAAAAACACUAUACCAAUAGGAAACAAAAGACGAAUAUCUUCAUGGCACAACAGCCCACACCCAGAAUCAAUAAGUAUUAGCACAAUAAUUUCAUCUGUAAAAUCUUUUUACAAAAUUGGCAUUCUACAACAAACACUAAUAUUUAUGUAGGAUUAUGCUAUAGAACUAAAAGAGUGGGAAAACUUAUCAAAGAAUGGUACCUUUACAUCUAUACGAGAAGGUAUUUAACUGAAUUAUCCUAUGAGGCAUGCAAAGUUAACUCAUUUUCCUUGAAAUCAGGCUUCAGUGCGGUAUCCCUACC